CGUCAACAAGCUCCCCCAAGCUUAACCUUUGCUCGUCCCUGAGCAAAGAUGAACUCAAGAGUUUCUGCAGUGGUUUCAUGCCUUAAAGGUACACAUGCGUUCAAACAAUAUCUCAUCUCUGGGUUAGGGUAAACUGCCAAGACUUAAAACUUACUUAUUUUACCUUCCACCAUGGGGCUUGCAACCGUCACUGUCUUGAGCGGUUAAAAGAAAGAACGGUCUAGUCAAGCGCCAUGUCUCUUGCUCUUCGAUUAACUAUAGCUCUGGAGUUUUUGCAGAUUUUAAAUAAAACUCAGAGAUUCCUUGUAUAACUCUCUCUAGUCUCUCUUUUGUGGUAUUUCUGGAUCCUUACCAAGGCAGUAAUGGUGUAUGCCUUCUCUCAAAGUAUGUGGUAUUUUUGGUAUGAGGCAUAGUGGCAUUGCCUUCUAUCUCACCCUACUCUAAUAAGGUUUUGAUAUCAGAGCUCAUAGGUGGGAGACAGCUAAUACAUACUUACAAGACAUUUAUUGCAUAGUCAAACCAUGGAUCCAGAAGGACAUGUCAAUAAGUCAAAUCAAGAUGUGCAUGUGUGGCGAAUGAAUGGUGAUAAUGGUGAAAAUAAUGGUGAACGUCUAAUUCUACUUUUGCUCUUUUGAGGGGAUACAUACCUUUCUUGCACUUGAGGCUUUUGAGGGGAAUGAGAUGCUCUAUAUUUUAUUUUUCUUUUCUCUCAGGUGGGUAUCUUGUACCCCUAAUUCUAGUGUCGGACACUUGUCCAUUUUUACCUCUCGUCUCACUUUUUAUUUUCUUUCAAGGUUCCGGGCACUUGCCCCUUUUUUUUCCUCGUAUCUUCUCUCUUUUUUUAGAGCACUCACCUCUUUAAAUAAUGUAGUAAGUGGUAGUAACCGAAAUAACUUGAGCAUUUAUUUCACAGGGGAAAACAUAAAUAGGAGAAUGUUUUUGGCUAUUCUCUCCCGGAUUAGGAGUGGAAUAUUUUUGGGUGGUUCUAGAGAUGGAAAUGGGUGGAUAUAUGUGGAUGCGUACUUUCGGAGUAGAAGCAGCAUGUGUGAGUGAACGUGCAAGUGAAUCUUGAUUUAACCACAUGACAAUCUCCUAAGGGUCUACACAGCUUGACCACACUCAAUGCUCAUAAACAGUAAAAAGUAAAUGUGUGGCUCAAAGUCUAGCAAGCAUGUAUAUAUGGUUGUGGUAGGAAUUUAAACUCUCAUCAUACAGGAACUCAUCAUGCAACAUUUUAAAGAUUUUCAAAGAUAAAAUUCUCUAGAAUUCUAGCAUCUCUAGGAACAGAUAAACAGCAGCUCAACCUUCCCAUAUCGUAUCCGUUAACGACUUAGACUUUAGAUCAAGUACUCUUCCCACAAGUUCAGGUUUAGAGCAAAUCUUAAUUAAUAACAGUCAUGCCUAAACUUGGGAGAGAUUUCAAUUUUGAGAACUAGUCAUGGCAGAGCAACUAUUCAUCAUUUCCAUGUGAGAGCUUAUCAUGAGGGUCCAUAGCAAACUUUAUUUAUUUAUUUAUUUAGCAAACUAAGCAAAGAUAUAUAUAAGCACAAAAUCUUUAUUUGGGUUUUAUGAUUAUGCAUCUUUUUAUUAUUUGAGUAAAGUAUAAACGUGAGUAGAAUACUUAGCUGCAUAAAUGGGGGUGCUCUCCCCCAAGCUGGAUCUUGACGUAAUUUCUUCUGAUGUAGCUAGCAGGUGGCGAAGGUGUAUUUGAAUGUCGGUAGCACCCUGACAGCGAUUAGGAUGUCCUCCGUCUGCUAGUCUUCUUUGAUCCUUGAAUUUUUGGAGCUCAAAUAUAUAACAAAGCUUUGUGGAACUAGUUAAGUGUUAGCAUAAAUAUCUAGCCUUUAUCAUGUUGAGCCUCCUCAAUAAAUGUUACACUCUUCGGUAGGAUCAUAAAUUUAUUUUUAUAUUUUCAUUUUUAUAGGAUUGGAAUAUAUUUAUUUUAUUUUUACGCCAACACAGUGAAUGUACUUAUGGGUUUUAUGCCAUGAGCAUACUCACAUGGGGCUUACUAUUUUUAACAUUUUUAUUUUAUUUUCGAGAUAAUAUGAACCUGAUUAACUAAGCAAACUAUUUUAAAUAAUUGAAAGGAAAAGGAUAACUACCAAGUUUACCUCUUGGCAAGGCGUUCAGUGUUUUUAAGUCCUCCGAACGGGACUCUCCAUUUUCUCAGUUGUCCUGGGAUUCGUUGGAUGGCGUAGUCGGUGCUUCUGGCGGUGUCUCCUCUUCAUAUAUAACUAUAUUCUCUCUCCACACCUGACUCGGUGCUAUGGUCUCCUCAGGACAGUUCUGUUCAAGCUGUAUGUCUUCAGACCUUACCACUUCUCCUUCGUAGUCUGCCCAUCCGUCCUUGAUGAUUUGCCUCCUCUGGUUGCGGAUGCAUCAUCUUCUUCUUGUCCUGACCUGCGUUUUGUUUUCAACUAUAUAGUUAGGGUCAGUAAAAUAGCGGCGUACCUUCUCAGAGGGGAAGUGCAUGUGGACUUCUCCGGUUCCCAUGUAGAUGAUUGCUUUAACGGUGCUGAGGAAAGGUCUUUCAAGGAUGAUGGGUGGAUCGUACUCGUCUUCUCCCAUGUCAAUAACCUGAAAGUCUUUCGGAAUGUCUGAUCUGCCAUCUGGAGCUGAAUGUAUGUUGGUUUUAGGGGCAUGGUUCCGAACAAGAGCUGAUAGGUGACUCCGGCCAUUAUGUUGACGCCUGACCCGGUGUCGCAAAGCGUCUUCUCGAAGUUGUAUCCAUUAAUGGAGCACUGGAUGCUUGGCAUACCUGGGUCAUCCUUUUUGGUCAGGAAUGAUGACUUGAGUCGACGAUCUUGACCUCCAUGAACUGCAGUUAGCAUCUUAGCUGAUUCGGUCCAUACUUGCUUGUUCAUGUUCCUCCUGUUGGUCCUCUUCGUUGGUUUAUGUCGGGAUUGCUCUGGGAUUUGUGCAGUCUUGUUCUUAAAGGAAAAUGUCUCCUUCCUCUCCUUGAUGUAGAAACUGAUCUUGGCAGCACUAGCGUAUAUGGCAGCUCCCGAAGUGUUCAGGAAUGGCUUCCAUAAGAUGAUGGGUGCCCUCUCAUCAGUACCAGUCUCUAUCACCACGAAGUCUCCUGGAGCGUAUAAGGUACCAACUCGGACGUAGAGGUUCUUCAAUAUUCCCUUUGGGAAACUUAGUGUCCGAUUAGCAAGCUGCAAACACAUGGUUGUUUCUAGUAUAGGAUGUGUAAAUAAUUUUUCAUAGAGUACCCUGAGCAUAAUGUUGACGCUGGAGCCAAAGUCGCAGAGUGCUUCUAGGAAGUCCACCAUGCCGAUGGAGAUCGGGAUGACGGGGUGUCUUGGAUCGUUUCUCUUGACCGGCAGAAGGUCAGUAAUUACUUCCACAACGGGAUUACUCCAGUAGUUACAUCCUCAAGCAUUUCAGGGCAGUGAUUGCCUGAGUGUCCAGUAUCUCCAGUGUGUUUGUGCUCGUAGAUCUAGGUUCUUCACUUGGUGGAGUCUAGGAGUUGUAAAAGUCCUUCAUAUUUUGCUCGAAGUGUACCUGCUCAUAGAGACAAGGUAGAGAUCAAGUGCAUGGGCCCUGUUGGUGUAAAACACCAACAGAACCAGAAGUGUAUUUGUUCUUCUCUAACCUUAGGCAUAGUGAGCAAGACAAAGUUGAUGGAUAAUAAGAUCAUGAGUGUAGCAUUUAAAACAUUUGUUAGAUCAGAUCGCUCAACCUAAUGGAAAGAUAAUCUAUCUAUACUUAUGUUUUUUUAUAUAUAUCUUCCAAAGAUUGAGUGUGCAACGUUUUAGUUCAUAUGAUUAGGAGUGUGGGAUCACAAAGGUGGAAGGACUAAAUAUAUUGAAUCGAUUGGGUUGGUUAAUCUAGAGUUGUAAAUCAUACAUGUUUGUCUCUUUUAUCCAUGUGAUUGCCAGAACCAAGGAGAAGCUUAUAAAAAGUGAUAGUCAAGUACCUUAAGAUGUUACCUUACUUAAAGAGUGAUGGUACAGUAUCACCUUGUGGAAGCUUUCCUUUCUUAGCGGUUAUGCAUCGUGUUUGUGGCACUCUUUGUCUCGUUCCACGGAUCAUCUCUAUGAUGAAUGAGCUAUGUCUUCCUUGUGCAAAUCGUUAAACUUCACGUGUCUCUCUCUUCAUCUCUGAUGUGAGUUUAUCUCAGGACUUCCCAAGUUGAUGUUGAAAGUUUUUUCUGCAGGGGUUAGUCUGACAAAAUAUACCAAUGUCUACACAAGCAGUUUUUAGUUCAAUAACCAAACUAGACUCCAUGUCUAAUUAGAUUAAGGAAGGCUGUUUAACCUAAGCACCAUGCUUAAUUUAAAAACCAAUAGAAGUAUGUAUGGUACUUCCAAACUAACACUUACUAGGAUAAACAAAGGUAGCGUGAUGGUUUUUAUAGAGAUCUACUCAAGUGGAGAUGAAGUAGUGUGACUAGUAUUUAACAAAUUGAGCAUGUCUCAAAGGUAAGGACAACCAACAUAGCAACAUGGCAAAUGAUGUUUUUAUGUAAGGUAUUUUCGCCAAGCUUGAAUUUUGCAAAAUUCAAGAUUGGAUGAAUUUAAUUCAAUGUUGCAUAAUGAUUGGUUGGGCAUACCUUGUGCUUGUCAUUCCUCAGAUCUUCUUGCUCCAAUCCUAGAAAGGUUAGUGACGCGAAUACCUGAAGGAAAUUUUUUACAACUAUACUUAUAUGCUCAAAACACAAGGUAAUGUUGCAAAUAAUUAAAAGCUCAUGUUACGCUCUGAUCAGUGCUUAUUUUAGGACACUAAGCUAGUCAUUGGGAAACCAUCAAUUUAUGUCAGCGAAGUAGUUUCCCCUCCAAUGCUGACCUAUAUCAAGAUCAACUCAACGAGAUAUGCAAUAUUUAUUAUAGACAUAUGCAUCGACAACCGCCCUUUUUAAGUCUUCCUAAAUAGAAAGGAAGAGGGGGUUGGAGAUCUCGAAUGUGGUGAUGUUGGAGAGACCAAUGGAUUGGGAAGAUGUUACAUAUGAGCAUGGAGUAAAUGAAGUGGCUAUGAAAUAAAUUCCAUGCUCAUUAAUGUUUGGAGUGAAAUCCAUGUGGUAUGGUGAAAAAUGGUAAUGUGAGUGUGGUAAAAAACGAAAAGAAGAAGGAUACACGGACGACAUGGUUUGAAACUAGCACAGCUACCGUUCCCCGGCAACGGCGCCAGAAAGCUUGUUGGGUAUUUUAAACGCAAACAGAAAAAUCCACAAGCGCAUGGAUACCGAUGUAGCUUUCACUCGGGAGUAUUCCAGAGUAUCGAUUUUGCACAGGGAACGUGAGUGUACUAAUUAAGAUUCAAGAUCGCCCAAGGAUAACUAUAUAAUUAUUUUUGGUGGGAAGAGAGGAAGUUUCCUGAGAGUUCUCUAGUUGAUCUAAGAAUCAAGAAUUACUUCAAAGACUAUUUAUUUUGGGACAUCAGAACACUAACCACAGAAAGUGAUGAGAUGGGGGCUAGGAAGUGUUGACACUUGCUAACACCACUUGAAUACUAGGUUGUCAUCCCCAGCAUGGCACUAGAGUAUACUAUGGUAUUUAUACGCACACAGAUAAUCCGCAAGCGCACGGAUACCGUUGAAGCUUUUUACCCGGUUAAAGGUUUUAUCGUAUCCACACGGAAACGGGAGAACCAACUACGCUCUAACUUAACCAAGAUAAGUAAAUAGGUGUAAAUAGGAAAGAUGGUAGAAUCGAAUAAGAACAAUAUUAAAGGUAAGAUAACAGUGAGUGAUAAUAUGGGAAUAGAGAGUAGAGCAAUCUAUUAUAUGGGCGAUGGUAGCAGAAUGGAGAGGGUAACUAUGGUUUCUCUACUUCAAAGGGGUAUGUCUAUGUCUGGGACGAACCACGUGAUAAGAUUACACCACAAAGGAUGCUUAUCCUUAGGCCGAUAAACCCUACCCGUCCUGCUAACGAGAGGUGGACUACAGAGGACCAACGUAACUGUCACCUACGCGGCCUACCACACGAUCCAGCUAGACAGGGGAUAUCCACAAGUAAUCUAGAUCUAAGCACCACACUUACACCUAUACUACAACUCUCACCUAUAGCGUCCUAUAGAUUAAAGUACUCAAAAGAGUUGUGAACCAGAACAUACAUAAUUAGUAAUUGCAUAAUGAAUUAGAAGUAGAUUACCAGAGUCAUCCCAUGAGCAAGCUUGAUUAGAGCUUGAUCAUGACGAAGUACAACCGGAGGAAGAACCGACAGGCUGGCCUCUCCUCUAAUCCUCCUUCGCUCUCCAUCUUGCUACUAUCUAGAUCUACUCUAGUUUAGAGAAGAGAGGAGAGCUCUCAUCUCUAAACCCUAGCUUUUGCUCUGUCUAUGAAUAAUGAAUAAUGAUCAAGGGGUGCCUCUCCAGGGGCUAGGGGGUCUGGUUAUAUAGUCCCCUCAAGUGAACCUAGGCCGUCGGAUCAAACCGACAUUGAUCGUGUGGUUUUCCUUGAAGUAUUAGGUCGGUGGAGCAUGAUCCGCGAAGUUGAAGCUGAUUGGUUACUGUAGCUGGGCGGGCACCCAAGGGACUUGGGCGGGCGCCCUGCCCCCGGGCCCGAUCGGCCUCCCGUUCGUUCCCGCGGCUUCUGGAGUCUUCUAGAUGGUAGAAAAUUGCGCAGCACGUUAAUAUCUCUAUGUAAACCCGACGUGUGGGCCUUUCUUUCAUAUUUCCUGAUAACCCCCUGCAGAAAUAGACAAACACCAAAACUCGUGGAAUUCUGUCAGAUAAAACCCUAAGUCUAGAUGUUGAUUUCAUUUGGAUCCUUUUCUAUGAUUAGUUGAUGGUUAAAUGUGAGCAUUAAGGACCGUCAACAGGAAGCUCUGACUACGGUCCUACAAACACCGAUCCGAACGAGGUGGAAUACGUCGACUGUUAGGGCUGUCACUACCCUAGGGCUACCACAACAAUACGCAGGAUUGGGUGCAAUUCCAGGUAAUUGCAAGACUAAACACCACGUCUAAUCUAUUAAUUACUACUCUAGCGUUAUAAAGACUAGAGCACUUGAUGCAAGCGGGAAUCCAAUAAAUAACUUGAAUGUAAAAAAAACUAAUUAAAUAACUCAGGAAUUAUGAAUUGAAGAACUUGGAGAAUGAUGAAGAACGAACCAGUUGCUGCAAAAGUAUAAUGUUGAGGAAGAUCCGACAUAUCUGGCUCCUGCUACGCUCUCCUCUUCUCUCUCCCUAUUUUCUAGAUUACAACUAGAACUAACUAGAACUAGAACUAGAGGAACUAGAACUAGAACUAGAUGAACUAGAACUAGAACUAGAUGAACUAGAGCUAGAACUCGAUGAACUAGAGGGAUCCUCUCUACUUGGAUGAAGAAUUGAAACCCUGGCUUUGGUUUUGUAGAAGAGGUAUGAUCUCCAGGGGCCAGGGGGCCUUGCUUAUAUAGUCUUUUCAGAUGAAUCUGGGCCGUCGGAUCAAACCGACAUUAAUCGCACGGUUUUCCUUGAUCCCUUAGGUCGGUGGAGCACGAUCCGCAAAGUUGGUCGUGAUUGGUGGAAAAAGGUGGGCGGGCGCCCUAAGGAGUAGGGCGGGCACCCUGUCCCUGAACCCUCUCGGCUUCCCGUUCGUUCCCGUGGCUUCUGGAGUCUUCGAGAUGAUAGAAAAUUGCGCAGCACGUUAAUAUCUCUAUGUAAACCCGAUGUGUGGGCCUUUCUUCCGUAUUUCCUGAUAACCCCCUGCAGAAAUAGACAAACACCAAAACUUAUGGAAUUCUGUUACAUAAAAUCGUAAGUCUAGUAGUUGGUUGCAUUUGGAUCCUUUUUCAUGAUCAGUUGACAGUUAAAUGUGAGCAUUAAGGACUGUCAACAGUGCUACUGUCUCCUCAGGACGGUUCUAUUCAAGCUGUAUGUCCUCAGACCUUACCACUUCUCCUUCGUAGUCUACCCAUCCGUCCUUGAUGAUUUGCCUCCUCUGGUUUCGGUUACGUCGUCUUCUUCUUAUCCUAAUCUGGUUAGAAUCUUCAACUAUAUAGUUAGAAUCAUUAAAGUAGUGGCGUACCUUCUUGAGGGGAAGUGCAUGUGGACUUCUCUGGUUCCAAUAUAGAUGAUAACUUUGAUAGUGUUGAGGAUCGGUCUUCCAAGGAUGAUGGGUGGAUCGUACUCGUCUUCUCCCAUGUCAAUGACCUGAAAAUCAUCUUGAGCUUAAUGUAUGUUGGUUGUAGGGGCAUGGUUCCAUGCAGGAGCUGAUAAGUGACCGCGACCAUAAUGUUGUAGUCAGAUCCGGUGUUGUAGAGUUUCUUCUGAAAAGAGUAUCCAUUGAUUGUGCACUCAAUGCUUGGAACACCAGGGUCGUCCUUCUUGAUCAGGAAAGGCGACUUGAGUCGACGAUCUUGACCUCCUCCGAUAAGGAUCCAAUGUUUUAAGUCUUCUAGACAAGACUUCUUACCGUCUUCAUCCUUUAGGUGCAUCAUUUGAUUAGGUGUGGACCUUGACGUCUGCACCUCUUGAUAUGGAGUCACCCAUGUUCUUUGUUUGCUCUACAGUUCGAAGUGCGGUGUUGGAAAUAUCCUGCUCAGUGUGUUUGUGCUCGUAGAUCCAGGUCCUUCUGGGAGUUGUAAAACUCCUCCAUUUUUUGCUUGAAGUGUAUCUGUUCAUAGAGACAAGGCAGAGAUCAAGUGCAUGGGCCCUGUUGGUGGAAAACGCCAACAGAAUCAAAAGUAUAUUUGUUCUUCUCUAACCUUAAGCAUAGUGAGCAAGACAAAGUUGAUGGAUCAUGAGUGUAGCAUUUGUCAGAUCAGAUGGCUCAACCUAAUGGAAAGAUAAUCUAUCUAUAUUUAUGUUUUGUUUAUAUCUUCCAAAGAUUGAAUGUGCAACAUUUUAGCUUACUAGUAACAAAGAUUAAAGGACUAAACAUGCUGAAUCAGUUGAGUUGGUUAAUUUGGAGUUAUAAAUCAUACAUGUUUGUCUCUUUAUUUUAUGUGAAUGCCAGAACAAAGGAGAAGCUUAUAAAAGUGAUAGUUAAGUACCUUAAGGUGUUACCUUACUUGAAGAGUGAUGGUAUAGUAUCACCUUGUGGAAGCUUUCCAUUCUUAGCAGUUGUGCAUCGUGUUUGUGGCACCCUCCAUAGAUCAUCUCUUUAUGAUGAAUGAGCUAUGUCCUUCUUGUGCAAAUUGUUAAACUUCAUGUGUCUCCUUUAUCUCCAAUGAGUUUGUAUCUCAGGACUUCCCAGGUUGAUAUUGAAAGUUUUCCUGCAGGGGUUAGUCCAACAAAAUAUCUCAUAUCUACUAUAGCAUACUAUCGGCUCAAAAAUCAACCUAGACAUCAUGUCUAAUUUGAUUUAGGAGGGCAUUUUAACCUAAGCACCAUGCUUAAUUUAAAAAUCCUUUGGAAGUAAGGUCAUCAUUCCUAAACUAAGCACCAUGCUUAAUUAAGAGAUAAAUGAAACUACUCCAAACCUAGACAUAUACUAAAGCAAAUAAAGGUAGCAUGAGAGCAUUUAUGGAGAUCUACUCAAGUGGAGAUGAAGUAGUGUGAUUAGUAUUUAACAAAUUGAGCAUGUCUCAAAGGUAAGGACAACCAACAUAGCAACAUGGCAAAUGAUGUUUUUAUGUAAAGUACUCCCCCAAGCUUGAAUUUUGCAAAAUUCAAGUUUGGAUGAAUUUAAUUCAAUGUUGUAUGAUGAUUGGUUGGACAUACCUUGUGCUUGUCAGUCAUCCGAUCCUCUUGCUCCAAUCCUGGAAAGGUUAGUGACACGAAUACCCAAAGGAAUAUUUCUACAAUUAUCUUUAUAUGCUCAAUACACAAGGCAAUGUUGCAAAUAAUUAGAAGUUUAUGUUACGAUCUGAGCAGUGCUUGUUUUAGGACACUAAGCUUGUCCUUGGGAAACCAUCAAAUUAUGUUGGUGAAGUGGUUUCCCCUCCAACACCAACCUAAGCGUGCCUAUAUGAAGAUCGACUCAUCGAUAUCUACAAUAUUUAUUAUAGACAUAUACAUCGACAACCACCCCUUUAAAGUUUGUAUAAAUAGAAAGGAAGAGGGGGCUGGAGAUCUCAAAUGUGGUAAGGUUGGAGAGACCAGUUGAUUAGGGAGAUGUUUUAUAUGAGCAAGGACUUGGUGAGGUAUUUAUGAAAUAACUUCCAUGCUCACUGUUAUUUCUCUCAUUCUCAAACUCUAAGGAUGAUUCUUCAUGAAUGCUUAAAAUUCCUCUAGGAUUGUCUCUCAAGUUUGUUUUAUCGAUCCAUUUAAUGGUGAUAGCACAAGGAUUUUUAAUGCCUUCUAGCCAUUGAUGUUGCUCUUCUCGAUCCUCCUUGUGGUCUUGGUGACUCUUAUGCAUGGGAUGUCUAGAUAGAUUCAUAGGAUCAUCGGGAGGUUCAAGAGAAAGAGCAUAGUAGAAAUUAUUAGGCUCAAGGAUGGGUUUAAAUAUAGGUUCGAAUGAGUUAUCAAAAGUGGCCGUAGAAGGGGAGAAGAUGAGAUUGUCUUCUAAAUGGCUUUGCUCUCCUUCUAUUGCAUCACUUAAGAUGCCAUCCUUGAGUCUUUCUAGAUGUCCAUCAAAGGGAUUGGAUUUGAGAUGCUUUCUAAGAGAUCCCUUCUUAGGAAGGUUUAGAUUAUAAGCACUCAAAGGUCUCUUAUGAAGCAGGAAGUUUAAGCUCGUCCCAAAAUGAAUUUGCAAAGGUAGAAUUUCUUCUUCCCUAAGAUGAUUUUGAAGCACUACAAGUUUGGGUUGGAUAGCCGAAUCAUGGGAUUGAAAUGUUUGGAAAUUGGCUAUUGAAUCUUCCUGGGAGAUGAUUCCUUCUCUAUCUCUAAGAUUUUUCUAUGAAGACUAGUACAAGAAGGAUGUCCACGAAUGAAGACAUACCUUGCUUUACUAACAGAUAAAGAAAGAAAAACUCUACCAAAGGUUAUAUGAUUAUGACCAAUGUGAAAAUAUCGAGGAAAAACAUGGUCUUGUAGGGCUAGGUUUAAACCAGAAUUUAUAGAAAAAUUAAAAGAUUCCCUAGGUGUAGCUAAAUGUUAAUUAUCUUCUUGAUUAAAAGAUAGGACUUCAACUAUAGGAAAGGGUUGGUUUUGACCUAUUGCAAUCAACUCCAGACACGGAUCAUAAUUAGGGGCAGGACUUGUUGACUCCCAUGGUCUAUGGCUGGUCUUCGAAGGUGCAAAUAAUUCAAUAAUAGGUAUGGAAUUUGAGUAAUCCAUAAAGAUGGAAAAAAUAAAAAGAUAAAAGAAUAAAAGUAUAAUACAAGAUAAUAGCAAGAUUCAAAGUUAUCUCAGCAAACCAUCUUUCUCUUCGGCAACGGCGCCAGAAAUGCUUGUUGAUAUUUGGUAACGCUAUCAGAAAAUGAUCCGCAAGCGCACUGAUAUCGGUGAGCACUUCACCCGGGAGGUUAUCCAGAGUAUCGUAUUUAUAUUUUUACCACUGGGAGAAAGCGUGCAUCUGACUAACCAAAUCUAUUGCUACUACCCUUUAGGCUACAAAGAAUGUGACUCGAUGUGAGCGAUGUAUAGAGAAGACUACGACCGUAGUCUCAUUCUAACCUUGGUAAGGAUGAUCUACUAUUCUAUUGGGGAAGCUUACGGAAUCUAGACACCACAAAGGAUGUUCGACCCGCAUCUAUAAACCCUACCCAUCCUGCUAACGAGAUGUGGGUUGCAAAGGUAACUCGGAAGUGUCACGUUCCUCGCUACUACCACGGUCCAGCUAGUCCGGGGAUAUCUAUGAUUACCCUAGCCCAAACAACACGUUUACGCUAGCAAUGAUUACUCUAAACUCAACCGGAAGAGAUUAAAGUAAACUCAUAAACCAAAGAACAAUAAAACAAGAACUUACUAGAAUUAGAAGUAGAAUUAUUGAAGAAUCCUAGGAGCAAGCCUCGGGUUAGGAGAACUUGAUCCCGCUGGUACAACCUCGGAGUAGACACCGACAGGCCGGGCUUCCUCCGAUCUACACCUCCACUCUAUCUCUCUCAAUCUAGUAGAACUUAGAAGAACUAAUUCUACUCUCACAUUCGAUGCUAAGCCCUAAGUCUAUUUAGAGGAGAGGUAUUCCUUCGAGGGCUCCUCUCAACUCUAUGAUGAACUUGUUCUCCUCCAGGGGCCAGGGGGUCUGGUUAUAUAGUCCUUUCAAGUGAAUAUGGGCCAUUGGAUCAAACCGACAUUGAUUGAACGGUAAUCCUUGAUCCUUUAGGUCGGUGGAGCAUAAUCCCCGAAGAGAGUCCUCAUUGGACUCUAGGAUAGGGCAGGCGCCCUAGGGGGGAGGGCGGGCGCCCUGCCCCCAGGCCCGUUUGCCUUCCUGUCCGUUCCCGUGGCUUCUGGAGUCUUCUAGAUGACAGAAAAUUGAGCGGCACUUUAAUAUCUCUAUGUAAACCCGAUGUGUGGGCCUUUCUUCUGUAUUUCCUGAUAACCCCCUACAGAAAUAGACAAACACCAAAACUCAUGGAAUUCUGUCAGAUAAAACCCUAAGUCUGGGUGUUGGUUGCAUUUGGAUCCUUUUCUUUAUUUAUUUGAGGAUUAUAUUUGGUACUUAAGGACCAUCAACAAAGAUCAACUACAUGCUGCCCAUGUUUAGAUGCAAAUGCCUGACUCAUGAAUGAAUGCGAAGCUCCGGUAUCGAACAAGACAACAGCGGGAUGUUGGUUGACAAGAAACAUACCAGCGGUGACCACUUCACCUUCAGGGAUCUCCUCAAUAGUGGUAUAGUGCACUCGGCCGGUACGGUUAUUGGUCCCAGCUGCAGUUCCUCUUGGGAUAAGGGUAAUCCCUCGCCCAGUGACCAACUUGUUUGCAGUUAAAGCAGGGACGGUUAUUAGGGGGAGUCUUGGGACCUCCUUGACCUGUAGCACCCCUGGGAAGAGCAACUGUGAAGGAUUGUCUUCACAUUUGACUUCUUCUGCGGUGGCCUGUACCUUGUCACAGCAUUGGGCGGACGAUAGGCCAGCUUACUUGUCGCCGGAGCCUUGGACUGCGAAGCACCUGCUUCAUAGGCCCUCUUGCGGUUCUUGGAUGUAGCAUAGAUAGCAUUGGAGUUCUCCUGGGUCAACACAUCACUCACAAACUCAUUGAAGGUGGUACUCUUAUUACCAGCCAUGUUCUUGGAAAGCUUGGGCCCCAGUCCCCUCUUGAAACUAGCAAGCUUCUUAGCCUCAGUAUCAAUAAACUCAGGAGCAUAGGGAGACAAGUUAUUGAAGGCAUGAAGAUACUCAGUCAAACUAUUAGUUCCCUGAGUCAAGUUCAUGAACUCGGUAUGCUUGAUAGUCAUUAAGCCCUGUGGAAUAUAGGUGUUCCUGAAAGCAGUUUGGAACUGAUCCCAGGUAACAACAGCAUUGGCAGGCAAGCUAGUCCUAUAAUGACUCCACCAGACACCUGCUUUGCCCUCCAACUGGUGUGCUGCAUAUUCCGCCUUCACUUCUUCAGUCAUCCUUAACAAGUGGAACUUCUACUCAAGGGUAUUGAGCCAUUCAUCAGCUUCCAGAGGUUCAGAGGCCUCCUUGAAAACUGGUGGCUUUGUGUCUUGAAAAUCCUUGAAGCUGCUAUACUGAUUCGCUUCUCCGCCUUGGUGGGCAUGGCGACCACCCCGAUUCUGCUGUGCCAUGGUUUGCAUAGCUUCAUUUAGCAUCCGCUGGCCCUCCACAAGAGUUGCCAGGAGCUCAGCAGGCGUAGGCGGGGGAGGAGGUGGUGGUGGCGGCACCUCAUUGUGACCGGAGCGAGUAUUGCGAGCCAUCUGCACAAGGCAUACCAAGUGACCAUUUAGGAUAACAGAUAUAAUUGCCAUGAAUCUCAAUUGAUGCCUUAUGGAAUUUAAUGAAAUAAAUUGACAUAACACAAGGCACAAUAAUCCAUGUACAACAAGGGAAUAUCAUCCACGACACUGGUUAUUCUCGCGAUCAUUCACAACCAUAUUUCACAAGGAUUAAAGACAUUGCUAGAAAUUAUUUAAGCUCAACAUAACCAUGGAUUAUCACACACAGGUGCAUAGGGUUACACAGAGUCAUUGUCACAACUUAAGUCUUACAGAAAGGGCAUCAUGGCCAAUACAUAAAGUCUCACUGGAAUUUUAGAUUACAUGUCUAUUACAUAAGGAGAUGGGAACUAGUACAUAAAUAUGGAAACCAUUGCGAAACUAUAGUUCUUCUUCAGAUUCUCCAUUAGAGAUUAUGCUAUCAUCCUGAUCUUCCUCACUGGGUUCUCUUCAUGAUUAACGGGGACAGGGUGUGGAAUAGGAUUUAUGACAUUAUUUAGGCGAUGGACAUCUAACUGCAGCUCAGCAAUCCUACUGAUCAGCUCUUCCUCUCUAAUCUCAGCAUGGAACAAAGCUGUAACUCUAGUAGUUUCUCUAUUUUCAGCCAAGCGCAUAGCCUCAUCUCGCUCUCUAGUCAUUUGCAUCAUGCGUGCUUGUGCCUCAUUGCGCUCUCUAAUUGCAUUUUCAACUUGAUUGCGGCGGGCUUGCAAAGCGGUAUGGUAGUUUUGAAUUUCAGCUUGUGCAUCACUAAAGGCUUUGCGGUGCUUGUACACACGCUUGCGUAGUUUGCGCUGCCCAACUUGAGCUUGCUGAAGUGCUAGCAUGGCUUCUAUCUAGGUAUCUUGGCGUACAAAGUACAGCUUCAGUACCGCUAGCAUGGCACUCAUAGCAGGGCUAGAGCUAUAUCCUAGUAUGGUUUCUCUCAUCUCCAGGGGCUCCGUUCCUAUCUGAGACACAAAGGUGUCAGUUACACUCACCCUAGGAAAAGAUCCGGCUGGGCCAUUCACUAUCUCAUCACCAUAGUCCUGGCAUAUUUCUAACAGCACUUCUAAGGCUGCUACUUGGGCACCCUCCCAAGGAGUUUGACCAUCGGAUUCUACUAUCCAUCCUAGCCACUGUGUGUUAUUUGGACAAGGGGGAAUUGUAAUUUGGACAUCUACCCAAGGCAAACAUCCUGCAUGCUCAGCCUCUGUCCAAGUGUACCGAGGUGGUUCCUCAUAUCCCACUGAGCUUAGCACUCUCCACAACAAGGUAGGAGUGCCAAACAUGUCCAGAAAAGUCUCACUUGCAUGUGGGGCUGCCAUCUGUAGGAAAGACCACAACUUGAGUAAGGAAGAUAAUUAGAUAUAGUUUAGGAAUUAUAAGAAUUGAGUAGUGCAUAAGGGAUGCAUGAAUGAUUCAUGAUGCAUGCACGUUCUAUACGUCCUUACCAUUCUUAGAAGAAAGUUCUAACGGUAUAGUCGGUGGCAUGCAUACGUGCACUCUUUAUACGUAACUACACGGUCUACACAUUUCGUUGUUAGUGUACCUGCAGAAAAAUUCAUUUCAGCCCAACUCCACAAGAGUAUAAUUGCAGAAAUGAGAGUCUAAUCAUCUACAACCAAGCUAGGUACUCCGAUAUAUAUCCCCGAACAUAUAUCGCAGCACACUACCCAUUUGGAAUAUACCCACAUAUACAUCAAACAUGUAUACGUGGCUGCACCUACUACCCACAAUUAAGUACUUUCAUAUAUACAUGUGUGCAACAUGUAAAUAUUCCAGUAACCACAACUAACACUUCCCUAGACCGACAGUUGGACGGUCAUGCUCUCACAGCUCACACUUACCGUAGCGUAUAGGCAUAUAGAUCCAUACAUUACCACUCAAGCAAGUGGCAUCCAUACAAUUUCACGCCGUAUGGACGACGAAAGGAAAACCACAAUGCUUACCAUGGCGUAGAGGUAUGUGAUCCAUUCAUUACCACUUAAGUAAGUGGCACCCAUAUUAUUGCACGCCAUAUGGACGACGAAAGGAAAAACCCCUAUGUUAGUAAUAUUAAGCCACCUAGAAGUCCUUAAAUGGGCAUAAAGGGUAAGACCACUGGCAUGGUAUAUGUUAUUGAAAUAUUUUUAAAACAGCCCUAUGUAUAGUCUAAUUUGCCAAUUAGUUUGGGAAAAAUAAAUUCAUUUGUUUUGUAAAUUCUUCUAUGAUGGUUAAAUGCUUAAUCUUGCUCCGAUGCUAGCUGUUACAGAACCGUCCAAUUUAUAACAACUCAAGUGAAUUAGCGACCACGAGAGCAGUCAAGCCAAUGGACUUGAACCCAUAUAAACCCGGUAGUCUGACGAAUCCUCAGAAGAUCUCGAUUCAACCAACAUACAACCAAGAUCGUACAUGAUCAAGCAUCGCCAUCACAGAUUACAUACAUUCAUCACAGAACAUAGUUUUACAACACAUCGGAGUUCAAAUAAAGUUAUUACAAACCAGUUCAGUAGCGGAAGCAAAGUAGUUUUAAAAACCACACACACUCAGUUUAAUUACAUGCCAGAUCCAUAGUCAACCCAACAAAAGAACAACUGAAGGUAAUAGAAGUGAUCAUGCCCAUGAUCUACUCAUCGUCCGCAGCCGGAUGAUGACAGUUAGCACAGUAGCCAUGAUAAACGACAUCAUCUGCAACAAGGGUAAAUAAAACCCUGAGUACGAGAAUGUACUCAGCUAGACUAACCUGUCAUAAACCAGAAAUAAAGUGACACCAAGGACUAUGCAAGGCUACUAUUUGUGGACUGGUUUGACUCACAUUUUCGCAUAAAAAGCUUUAGUGGUAAGUAACACAUUUAUAGCAUUUUGGCAGCAAGUUCAUUACGUAACAACUAUCCACUAGAUUGGCACCUGUUCUAAGCAUACACUUGAGCAUUAAGCAUCACAAUAAUAACCAAAUCCGGAUUAUCACAUAGCCAUCAUCAUUCUCAUCAUAACCAUCAAGUUUAUUUAAUGAGUUCUACGUUGCCACUGCUCGAGUCAAGUUCUCACUAUUCGAGAGAGACGGCGAUUCAAAUCGAUUCCUAUCCAGUUGGAGGGGUAUUCCUAGCACUCACCCAAGCACACCUCAUGUGGGCAGCUCGGAUCACCUCUAGCACAACUCCGGACCAAGUUGUGGGUCCGUACGGCACCGCACCCUCAGGGACCGCCAAUCUGCCAGGGUCAGGACUCUAACCUGACACCUCGGUCUUAUGCCAUUGACUACCCGCACAUCCUUGCUACCAAACGGUGUGCGCACUUUAACCACAUCGGGGUAUCUGGCCGGAGAUGCACUCGUAGGCUUCGCGGUCGGAAUGACUUAUCUGGCGAACUAAGUGUUAGGCAUGCGUUCAACAUGACACGAGGACAUACAACGAUUCGGUCCUUAACCGACACAGACCGGGAUAGAUUCACACUCAAGACCUCCAUGCCUUGUUGCUGCACUAUCAUCAUCCCGUCCGGUCUCAAAAUUCAUUAUUAGCACAUGGUUAUCUCCACGAUAGCAAAUAUAGCCAGCCAUGAUUCAGUAUCCACCUAACUCUCGCAGGUGACAGGAAAUCAUCCGACUUCUACCGAGCUAAGCAUGGCUAAGCAUAAUUUCGAUCCUAGACCUACUUAGGUAAGUUAUAAGGUGGACAAGGUAGUUAAAUAUGCAGUAGGGGUGUCAUAUCAACGCUUAACACUUAAUGCAACAAUACAUAACCAUAGUUAAUUGCUAGCUGGACAUGAUAACAAAAUAGUAGGAGUCUUAUAAUGCUCCGGGGCUUGCCUUCAAUGUAGGUGGACGGGUGGUGAUCGGGACACUCCGGUAGAUCCUCCUCCUCCUCAGCUCCUUCUCCUUGAGGUGGCUCCCUCUGCUGUUCCUCCGGCUCGGGUAGUGCAAACUCCAAGACCGACACUCCUUUGGGUACACCUAUGCAUGCAUGACAAGGUGAUAAACAUAGGGAAUGCACAUAAGAUGCAAUAUGUCAUGAUGCUGAGCCAAGGCACACAUAGCAAGGUAUAAACAUGAGCACAAGCUCCUAAAACCAAGUGAGUCACAGAUUAACAAGUAAGUGCAUACUUCUUCUCUGGUAGAGAGGCUAACUGGACAAGCUAAUCAACCUUAGCUACUCACACUGUCACUGGUGUCAUGGACAGAUUAACUAGCCACAAGUUUCAGCUAUAACCUAGGCAUCAGUUGCCCAAACUAAGCAAGUAGAUACUUUCUGGAAAGCUUAACAAAUUGUUUACAAUUCUCGUUUAGACAUCCCAGAAUGAUUGUGUUGACACCGUUUUUGGACACGUACCCGGGGAUCGGUAAAGUAUAGAUCGCCAGAUGGAGCAACGAUAACUAGUCUGCAGGGAAGUUGCCGAUGAGGGUGAUUGCCAAUGAGGGGACAGUUGAAUAUGACUGAGUCCAGAAGAGGUGACGUGUUUGUGCCGAUGAUCAGUAUUGGUGUUUGCCGAUGGCCAUAACAGGAAGUCUACCGAUGUUUCUGAAGGAAAGCAUGGAGAUUGCCGAUUGAUCUGUGGCGGUGUCCCGGUCAGUUAUAAGGGGAUAGUUUUAUGUUUUCCUUAAUUAUUUAAAUUCAUUUUGUAUGCGGAUUCUGUUUAGUUUGGAAUUCAAGUCCUAGUCGUGUCUGAUUGUAGCUCUUUGAGGAGGGUAUAAAUGUAGACCCUAGGGCUUUGUAAUAAGAUAUCUAUCAAUCAAUCAAACACAUGUUUUUACUCAUAUUCUAGCAUCUACUUUUUCGACGACUUCGUCAUAUUUUCCUUUUUACUACGAGUUCAUAGGAAUUCGUCGACUUAAGCUCGGCGUAUUCUCGAGUUCCGUGUGAAUACCUCUUGGCCGUGACAUCCGGGCGCAUCGCUGUUGUCGGGACUAAAGUAUUCGAGUUAUCACCUUUGCCGAUAGUAAGGUCAAAUCGGCUGGCACGCCUUAACGUUUGAAUCGGGUAUUAGCCCUUUGUGUUUGCAGAUCCGCUUUCGCAUCAACACAUCUUUUGGCACGCUCGGUGGGACAAGUUCAAGAUCAAGAUCAACAUGUCGAAUACCGAUUUCGACCUCGAGAACGUCAUCCCUAUGACGGAAGCCAAUCUUAGAGAUGAGCAAAAGCAAGCUAUUGCAAAAGCUAUGGAGGAUUACAAGCAGCAAUGUUUGAAGUAAUUAUGUAUCAACAGGAGCGGCGAAGUAAUCCAGAAGGAAGCACUGCCGGCGCCUCGGCAGGUCACUUUUGAAGCCAAUCCUGGUAAACUCCAAGACAUGGUCGACAAUGCUAUCAACUGUGCCUUGAUCAACCAAGCUGGUGUGUUGUCCAACAUGGUUUUUAACGCCGUGGCUAGAACUUUCAAAGAGGGACAAUUGCCACCAAAUUAUGUGGGCCCUGUCUAUCAUCAGCCAGGAUCACUAGUUGUCACAGCUCCAUCGGCUACUACGGCCGCUGCGGGUACAGAAACUACUGCUCCUCCAAGCACACUAGGACUCACUAAUGUGCAAUCUACGCCGAUGACAACUAAUCCAUCAACUUUGGAUGAGCAAAUCAAGCUUGCCACAGAUCUAUUAGCAUCGGCAAUGUCGGGGUCUGUUCCUCCCAACUGGUGGGGUUAUGGUAUGCCCCCAGAGAUGAUGUUGAAGACUCCUGGAACAUCUCAAGUGGCUGAUAUGACAGGCAAGGCUCCUAUGGCACCGGCACCACCCAAUCUGCCGAUGAAUCAGAGUCCCCAGUAUACUACAACUACUACUGCAAGACCUUACACUGGGAAUUCUCAAGCUCCAACGUUCCAGAUGCCUAACGCAGCGGCAGAUUCAAUGCCGAUGCAGCAGAGGUUUAUGACACAGCCAGGGUAUGUCAAUUCAAUGAUGAUGCCCAAUCUUCAGCCAUCGGCGGGGUUUAUGCCGAUGAAUGCUAACAGUGGAUGGACGGGGCAGUUAGUCUUUCCACAAAUGCCUCAACAGAAUCAACAGGCUUCAGGGUUUCAACAAGGCCAGAUCCAACCUGGGUUCCAGAAUCAAGGGUUGGCCAACCAGCCGAUGAAUCUUGGUCAACAGUUUGGUGGUCAGACAAUCAACCCCAUGUUCCAUGCAGAUCGUGCGCCUCAGCGACACGUGGAAGUUUAUCAGCAGGCGCCAGAUCCACAACCACCCCGUCGGCAAGAUGCCGAUGCUUAUUGGGUUGAUAAGAUAGCUAAAGUAAUGAGAACCAAUUUGGGAUAAAGCACAAAGUCAACACUUACUCUUAUUGGACACCGUAUCCUCCUGCAUAUGAUCUAAUCCCUCUUCCAAAUCGGUACAAGGUACCGGAUUUUACUAAAUUUUCCAGACAGGAUGAUACAUCGACCAUGGAGCAUGUCAAUAGGUUCAUCAUCCAGUGUGGAGAAGCUGCUAACAGAGAUGAGUUAAGGGUUCGCUUGUUCUCAUCAUCUUUAUCUGGAUCGGCUUUUAUUGGUUUAUUUUGUUACCUCCUGACUCUGUGAUCACUUGGGCCGAUCUGGAGAAGCAAUUCCACAAAUACUUCUUUUCUGGAGUCCAUGAGAAGAAGAUUACCGAUUUGGUCAGAUUGAAACAACGCAAUGAUGAAUCGGUUGAAAGUUUUGUGCAGAGGUUGCGGGAAGUCAAGAAUAAAUGCUAUAGUCUGGUUUUAGAUGAUCGGCAGCUAGCCGAUUUGGCUUUCCAAGGUUUGUUGCCACAUAUUAGGGACAAAUAUUCUUCUCAAGAGUUUGAGAGCCUGAGUCACUUGGUCCAGAGGAUUUCCGACCAAGAUAUCAAACCCUUUGAACCUAAGAGAUCUUGGAACAAUAAGGUGUCAUUUGUUGAUGAGGCAACAAGCUCAGAUUCUGAUGAAGCGCCAGUCAUCAGCUUGGCAGAGUGGGUGAAAAAUAAGAAGCCAAUGUCUUGCCCUUUUGGGCAUAAAGAGCCAGAGAAGUUCGCAUUUGAUAUCACUAAAGCUGAUAGGAUAUUUGACUUUCUACUUCAGGAAGGGCAAAUCAAAUUGUCGCCUAAUCAUGUGAUGCCAUCGGCUGAAAAAUUAAAGAAGAUGAAAUACUGCAAGUGGCAUAAUGCAACCUCUCAUAGCACCAAUGAGUGCAAAGUUUUUAGGCAACAGCUGCAAUCGGCUAUUGAAUCUAGGAGAAUCAAAUUUGAUAGUUCCAAAGCUCAGAAGCCGAUGAAGAUCGAUCAACAUCCUUUCCCAACAAAUAUGUUGGAUGCUAAGGGAAAGACCAUGGUCUUGACGUCGGAAGCAGCUGAAAGGAAUGCAUCGGUAGAUCCUCAGCAUCAAAUUACUGCUACCGAUGCCAAAGGAAAGGGCUUGAUCCAAGAGGGAACUAACUCGGGAAGGCCUCCCCGAUCUGGUUUUGUGAUAACUCAUAGAAGGCCUCAGGAGACUUGGCAGCAACGUGAGGAUCGGUAUCGGCGCCAGCAAGAAGACUAUCGUCGGGAAGAAGAAAGACGCCGACAGGAGUGGAAUCGGCACAAGGAUCACUGGAACUGCCCAUUCUUUAUCCAUUGCUGGGAGCAGAACAUUAAAUUACCCACUGUUAGGGACUGCCCUAAAUGCAAUGGUUAUGAUCGGUAUGACAGAUCCGAUCGGCGCUAUUACGAUGAUGAUCAGUGAUUUAAUGGGGCGAUUAGGGGGAGAGCGUCAGUUCAUGAUCGGCUGGGGGGCAGACUCAGUGUACACGAUAGGCUUGGUGAUCGUGUUGAAUAUUUUCCCAAGAACUAGGAAGAGAUUGAAGAAAUGGCGGAUGCACGAGUUCCCAAUGAAUUCAUAUUUUGUAGAGACGCUAAUACUUAUCGGAUGGAGUCAAGGGAAAGUCGUCGCCCAUCAGCAAGGCAGUCACCACUUCCCCCAUGGUGUCCAGAGGGGUUGAUUAAGACACAAAAAAGGAGACUGCAGCGCGAAAGACGAGAAGAGCUAAGCAAGGAUGAGAACUCUGGCCAGUCUGGGGAUCAGCAACAACCAGAUCCUAAGGGGAAAGGGCCAUCGGCAGAUGUUAACAUGGUAUUUAUGUUGCCAAUGGAAUUCCUUGCACCAUCCAGUGAUGAUGAGGAGUUGGAGUUUUCUGACCAGAUAGCUCAGUUGGCUCUGGAUCCGAUGACAGCUAUCUUUGAAAAGCCUGCCGACAAUGAAAGGCAGCAUCUUAAAGCUCUGUUUGUCAAAGGAAGAGUUGAUGGUCAGCCAAUGACCAAGAUAUUAAUUGAUGGUGGGGCUGCUAUCAACAUCAUGCCGUAUGCAGUCUAUCGGAAGCUUGGAAAAGGAGAUCAAGAUUUGACCAAGACCGAUAAGAUGCUAAAAGACUUUGAGGGAAAUGUUUCUCCGGUUAAGGGGGCAAUCUGCGUCGAGUUGACCAUCAGCAGCAAAACCUUGCCGACAACCUUCUUUGUGAUCAGUGGAAAAGGUGCUUAUAAUUUGCUGCUAGGGAGAGAUUGGAUUCAUGCCAAUUGUUGCAUCCCGUCUACGAUGCACCAAUGCUUGGUUUAGUGGGUAGGUGACAAGAUUGAGAUUGUCCCGGGAGAUUCCUCCUAUGUCAUUUCAUUGGCAGAAGCAGACACCUAUGAAAUUACCAGGUGUAUCUUGGGAGAAAGUUGGGAGAAGGAUUUCCUCAAAGUUGCUGAUUAUGAAAUUCCACCGAUCCAAGCAGUCGGUUCCGAUGAAGAGUUUUAAUGGAUAGAUUCGUUGAUGAUGGAAAAUUAGGCCAGGGAUUCACAUCGGCCGAUGAUUUGGUAGAGGUAGAUAUAGGUAGUGGUGAUAAGCCUAGACCUACUUUUAUUAGACCUAAGUUAAAUUCUGAGUGUAAGCAGCAGUUAACCGAUUUGUUAAAGGAAUAUAAAGAUUGCUUUGCUUGGGAUUAUACUGAGAUGCCUGGUUUAGACCGAUCGAUUGUUGAACAUCAGUUACCUAUCAAGUCUGCAUUUCGGCCACAUCAACAGCCAGCUCGCCGAUGUAACCCUAAUAUUCUUCCUGAUAUGAAGGCCGAAAUAACCAAACUUAUCGAAGCUAAAUUUAUUCGGCAGUGUCGGUAUGCCGAGUGGAUUUCCAAUGUUGUUCCAGUUUUCAAGAAAAAUGGGAAGCUUCAGGUUUGCAUUGAUUUCAGGAAUCUUAAUAAAGCUACGCCGAUGGAUGGUUGCCCAAUGCCAGUUGCCGAUCUACUAGUUGAUGCUGCGGCUGGGCAUCGGAUCAUAAGCUUUAUGGAUGGCAAUGCAAGAUAUAAUCAAAUAUUCAUGGCUGAAGAAGAUAUUCCAAAGACUGUAUUUAGGUGUCCUGGUCAUGUUGGGUUGUUUGAAUGGAUAGUCAUGACCUUUGGUUUGAAAAAUGCUGGUGCUACUUAUCAGAGGACUAUGAAUUUUAUCUUUCAUGAGUUCAUCGGCAAGCUAGUGGAAAUUUAUAUUGAUGUGUGGUGGUUAAGUCUGGAGAUUUCACAAAACAUCUUGCCGAUUUGCGAGAGGUGUUGGAAUGCACAAGGAAGCAUGGUUUAAAGAUGAAUCCCAAUAAGUGUGCCUUUGGUGUGUCGGCAGGGCAGUUUCUUGGUUUUAUGGUGCAUCAGAGAGGAAUUGAAAUUAGUAGCCGAUCUAUUGAUGCUAUCAACAAAAUUGUUGCCCCUACUAACAAGACUGAGCUCCAAUCCUUGAUCGGCAAGGUAAAUUUUAUCAGACGGUUUAUAUCUAACUUGUCUGGUAAAAUUCAUGCUUUCAGUCCUUUACUCAAAUUGAAAGCCAAUCAAGAGUUCGUAUGGGGGAAAGAGCAACAGUUGGCUUUAGAAGAAAUCAAUAAUUAUUUGAUAAAUCCUCCGGUUCUGAUUCCACCUCAGCAAGGAAAGCCCUUUAAAUUAUAUUUAUCUACCGAUGGGAUGGUCAUCGAUUCGGCUUUAAUUCAAGAAUUUGAUGGGAAGGAGCGUGUGAUUUGCUAUUUAAGCAGGAGAUAGGUUGAUGCUGAGACCAGGUAUUCGGCCAUUGAAAAGUUAUGUUUAUGCCUAUAUUUCUCGUGUAUUAAGUUGAGGCACUAUUUACUAUCAGCCGAAUGCACUGUUAUAUGCAAAGAUGAUGUGGUCCGGUAUAUGCUAUCUAUGCCGAUCAUGAGUGGCAGGAUUGGUAAGUGGAUUUUGGCACUGUCGGAAUUCGAUCUGCGUUACGAAUCGGCUAAAGCAGUUAAAGGACAGAUUAUGGCCAAUUUUGUAACUCAACAUUGUGGUGCAGUAGAAACUUUGGAAAUUGUGCCUUGGACGCUCUUCUUUGAUGGAUCCACGUGUGACCGGGGGGCAGGAAUCGGCAUAGUGUUAAUUUCCCCUCGAGGAAGGAAGUAUGAGUUCUCUUUGCCGAUUGUUGCCACGUCAACAAAUAAUCAAGCUGAGUAUCAAGCUUUAAUCAAGGGGUUGGAAUUAUUAAAGGAAGUCCAUGCAGAUGUUGAAAUCUUCGAGGAUUCUAUGCUGGUUAUAAAUCAAUUGGCUGGAAGCUACGAAUGCCGAAGUGAAGUCCUAAUAAUUUAUUACGAAAAGAGUAUGCAACUGUUAAGGGAAUUCAGAGAUUUCCGAUUAGAGCAUAUUCCUCGGUUACAUAAUGAGGAGGCUAAUCGGUUGGCUCAGCAUGCCUCGGGAUAUCAACCCAUAUUGAACACGUUAUCGGCAAUCAGUGCCGAUGAUUAGAGAAAAGAAAUCAUUGAUUAUUUAAAGGAUCCAUCCAAGAAUGUUGAAAGGCGUGCUCGGUUUCAAGCCACCAAGUAUGUGCUCCUCCGGAAUGAAUUAUAUUAUCGAACAAUUGAUGGAAUUCUUCUCAAAUGCCUAAGGUGGUAAUGAGGCUAAAAGUUUAAUGGGAGAAAUCCAUGAAGGAGUAUGUGGAGCACAUCAGUCGGCUUUUAAGAUGAAAUGGAUGAUUAGGAGGAAUGGGUAUUAUUGGCCAACCAUACUUGAAGAUUGCUUUAAAUAUUUCAAGGGGUGUCAAGGAUGUCAGAAGUUUGGCAAUAUUCAAAGGGCACCCGCAUCGGCCAUGAAUCCCAUUAUUAAACCUUGGCCGUUCCGGGGAUGGGCUAUUGAUCUAAUCGGCCAAAUUUACCCACCAUCAAGCAAAGGACAUAAAUUCAUCUUGGUUGCCACCGAUUAUUUCACUAAGUGGGUUGAAGCUAUUCCUUUGAAUAAAGUCACAUCGGCCAAUAUGAUUGAUUUUGUGAAAGAGCAUAUUAUUUACCGAUUUGGAAUUCCUCAAACAAUUACUACCGAUCAGGGUACUAUGUUUACAUCAGGGGAAUUUGAUGAGUUUGCAAUCGGUAUGGGAAUUGAAGUAUUAAAUUCUUCUCCUUAUUAUGCUCAAGCUAAUGGGCAAGCCGAAGCAUCUAACAAAGGAAUUAUCAAACUUAUUAAAUGGAAGAUUGAAGAAAAUCCUAGGAGGUGGCAUACGUUGUUAAAUGAAGCUUUGUGGUCAUAUCGGAUGGCUUGUCAUGGGUCGACCAAAGUUUCACCUUAUUAAUUGGUGUACGGGCAUGAUGCAGUGCUACCCUAGGAAAUUAAAACUGGAUCUAGGCGGCUAUCUUUUCAAGACCAAUUGAUUGUCGAUGACUAUGCUACUUUGAUAAAAGAUGAGUUGGAUGAUUUAGCAGGGCAUCGGCUAAGUGCUUUGAUAAGUAUAGAAGAAAAUAAGAAAAGAGUUGCUAGGUGGUAUGAUAAGAAAGUAAAGGCUAAGGAGUUUGCCGAUGGAGACUUAGUAUGGAAACUAAUCUUACCGAUCAGGACUAAAAGUUCAAAAUUUGGAAAGUGGUCUCCCAAUUGGGAGGGUCCUUAUCGGAUAAAUCGAUCUGCUCCUGGCAAUGCUUAUAUUUUAGAAACUCUCGAAGGAGUUGAAUUUCCCAGGGCAUUGUAUGGCAAAUAUUUAAAGAGAUAUUAUCCCAGCAUAUGGCUUGAUGCAUGAAAGUUUAAGUGGCGAUAACAUUCCUAUCGGCUGGAUUAAAGUGUAUCUGGGGCCGGACUUAAUGUUUUAAAAGGAUGCCGAUAACAGACCAAUCGGCUAGACCAAAAUGAUCAGAAGUGCUUUAAAAGAAAGAAGCAAAAUAUGCCACCGAUGAAGAGUUCACAUGUUUAACAGAGCCUGGAGUUGAUAUGGCACGUAGACGGAUCUGAUGGGCUUCCUCUAUCUCCGUCAUAUCUUCGUCGGCAGAGCCCUCCACUGGCCUCAGUUUCUUCUUCAUCUGCAGUGCCUUGCGAGCCUGGAUGUUUCGCUCCUCUUCAAGAGUCUUGAUUGCUUCAGGCAGCUGGCUUUCUUCCUAUUGAGCUUGGGAUAGAGUUUCUUCUACUUGUUUGAGUUCUGCCAACAGGGCUUCUCUCUUUGCCGAUAUAUCAGAGAUCUUUUGCUUCAGCACGUCUCCUGAGGAUUUUUAGAUGCCGAUGCUCUUGUGCUUUUCAUCGGCAAGGAGCUUUACUUUCAUCAUCUCUUUUGAGAGCUGGGCGUGAGUAGCUCUAUCGGCAAGGCGCUGAGCGGCCUUUCGAUACUGAAGCUACCGACUCUCCAAAUGAGCAGCCUUGAAGAGGAUCUCCUCAGCAUCGGCAGGAAUUUGGCCUCUAAGAGCCUUGAACAAGGCUUUAGCUGGAUCGGAGUCAUCAACCAAUUGGGCUGUAUCUUGAUGAAGGAGGGCCGACAAAUCUUCCAACUUUGCUUUAAUCUCUGCCGAUGAGAUUCCAACUCCUCGGGAAGAACUUGCUUCCUCGCCUUCAUCCUCAGAAAUGUCGAUGGCGAAGGAGAACAAGCUGUCGGGAGAGUCCUGUUCCUAAAAGGGAAGACAAAAUAAGUUAUUUUAUGAUCAAGUACUGAUAACAAUAAGAACAGAGAUCGGGUAACUUACUUGUUUCAGGGCUAUUUCUCGCCUUUGACUAGAUGAGGCCGAUGGAACCACAGGCUGAUCGGCUGGAGUUGCCGAUGAAACUAUGUCAGCUGAAAGAUUGACAGAAGUGAUUAAUAAAGUGGAAAAUAGGUUCAUCGGCAAUAGAUGGAAAGUAUGUUACCUUGAGGGGGUGCAAUACUUGUCUGAAUCGAGGAGACUACCGAUGCUAUGAUUAGGCUUGCUAGAUCGGCGGUCUGCUCGUGUACAUCAGCCGAUGUUUCUUCUGGCUGAGGUUCUUCUGGCUGGAGUUCUUCUUGUGGCUGGGGAGGAGAUGGUACUUGCUAUGUCUGGACUUCAGGAGAAGAAGGGGAUGAUUCUACUAGGAUCGGAGACUUUGGAGGAGGAGGAGGCGUUGCUGUUCUCUGGCGCUUCGCUUGUGAUCAGGUGCUCUUGGAACCUUUUCUCUUCAGUUGACUGGAUUGGGGGGCAUCAGCAGUCGUACUUUUGGUCUUGGCCGAUGUACCGGUGUGCUGAUACAACAAUGAGAAGUUUAUGAGUACGAGUGUAACAGGUAUAAGAAUGGAAUCGGUAUGAGUUAAAGAAUUCGAAAAUUUACCUUGAAGGCUUGUGCUAAGGCAGUGGCAGCUACCGAUGGGGAUGUCUUCGUCCGCUUGGUAGUAACUUUCUUGAGACGCACACCCCGAUGCAUUAUGGCAGCCAAGGUUGGAGCGUUGUUGCCGAUCAAAGAGAUCGGGCCCGAUGGAAGGAGUUCAAUCGGCCUACCACUCCUGCUGAUCAAUGGUGGUGUGUCAUCGGCCUGUAUAUGACAAAGAAAGUAAGUUACCAAUGGGAAAUGAAAGUGAAGGAAUUGAAGCAUCGGUAUCAAAAUACUUAUAGUGUUAUCAGGGACUUUGUACUUGGGGUCGAUCAUGCCACGGUACGUGAGAGCCGAUCUGCAUAAUAGGUGUUCUUUCCACUCUUCCCACCACUAUUUGUAUGCCGGAGUGAUGAAGAGAGCUGGGAUCCAAGCCGAUAGAUCGAUGUCUAUAUCAGCGUUUGGUGGAAGUUGGGCUACCCUGAUCCAUUCCAGAUUGUUGGUGAUGAUCUCCCUUGGUUUUAUCACAUCGGCGUAGCAAAGCGCAAUCGGCAGUUGGCCGAAAGCCAGUUGGCGAGCUAGUGCCGAUGGGUUAUAAAAUUCAUAGGUCAAAUUGGAGGCUUUCCCACUACCAAAGAAGUUCACUGGUAUGGCUCUUGGGGUGAUAAUUGACAUCAUCAUGUCACGAUCCUUGUUAAGAGCAUCAUUGAAGGGAUGGAAAGUCAAAGGGAAUCUGGUGUCUGGAUCUUCAUAAGGCACCCAUGCUCGCUGUUCUCUAGUCAGGCCCUCGUAUAGAGUCCGAAAGAAUCGGCUAACCUGGUCUUUGUUACCACCCGUGCUAGGUAAGACUAUGGCUGCUUCACCAAAGUUCAAGGGAGAGCGAGUUGCCGAUUCUUCCUAAAAGUUCAUAAUCUUCGGCUAUGUCCCUGGGAAAGCGCUGUGCAAAGAGGUCGAAUUCAAGGCGCUUGUGCAUGUGGAGAUUAAGCCACAUGUUGAUAAACCACCAAGGACCCCCUAAGUUGCCGAUGGGUUGACCGAGCAGAAGUUUCCUGGCUACUUGGUGGAGGAGGUGAUAAGCCGAGCCAAGCAAGUAUCGGCCAAGGGGAAAUCGGCCGCCAUUGGCUAAUCUUUCUGCUGCCGAUAGGUAAACAGAAGUUGGUCCAGAUGAUCGGCCACAGAAUACAAAUUUAUCCAGCCACAUGUUUAGAAAAGUAGUCUGUUCCUUUGCAUUGACAGGACCUGUUCUUCGGUACUUCUGAAUGUACCCUGACCAACCGCCGAUAGCACGAGUUUCUACCUAGGCACUGGGUUUGGCGUCGAACAGGUGGGUGUUAUCGGCAGUGGAUAUAUCUAGGCCGGUGAGCAUAAGUACAUCGGCAAGUGUAGGGGAAGCAGGGCCAUGGACAAACAUGAAAGCAUUGAGUGUGUCUGACCAAAAGUAUGAGGCAGCUAUCAGUAGUGACUCAUUUCUCUCCAUAUCGGCAAGAGACAAUCUAAUGUACUGAUCUAAUUUCCGUUCACCCCAUUGGACCUCAUUUGAGUUACUGACUCUCAGGAACCAAUCCUUCCAUCCCUUGGUAGGACUGGGACAGAAACGGAAGGCAUCUUUCCAUAGAUCUAGAGAAAAAUUCUUGGCUCUAAACGGGAUUCUGUUUGUCUCUGCGUUUAUAAGAUCAGUGGGAUCUAAGUUUCCUAGUGGACCAAGGCAUUGGAGAUGGGGUUGAUCGGUAGGGAUUAUGAUCUUGUCGGCCAAAUCCUAAAGAUUGUAAGGAUAAAAGGAAAAGUAAAAAGAAAAAAAGGGAAUAUUCAGUAAAAGGAAUUGCGGAUGGACAAAAGUACAGCAAGAGUGCGAAAAAAGAAGGGGGGUAAGCUAACCUCAGGGACCACGAAGUUGACGGCCGUUGCCCCGCGAGGAAGAAGAUCGAAAACUUGGGGGUUGUUGGAGGAAGUUCUUGCUGGAGUUCUUGGAGUUCUCGAACAGUGCCGCCGCCAGGAAAGCAGAGUUUGGGCUGUAGAAUGAUGCGAUAGAGAAGGAGUACCCGAGAAGGAAGUAUCUAUAGGACAAAACGGGCAAGGGCAAAUUUGACUUAUCUCUUUGACGCAUCCGUGAAAUCCAAUGGUGCUCAGGUGGAUAUGGUAACUGUUCGCACGGUAAUCAAGGGAUUGCGUAGGUGAUUUGACAGGAAGCGGUCAUGAUUUUGGAGAUAUUUCACUGUACAAGAUCUCCUGGUCGGUCCAUCGGCAGUUCCCUCUAACGGUAAUAUUGCUGAUGGGCGCAUAAAGUGGAGAGAUUCGGUUCGGAAGGUUGAGGAAUUCGAGGAAUACACAAGAAAAUCGGGCCGAAGUUGUUUGGAUUUUGACGAACGGUUACCAAAUUGGGAGAAUUAAUUGCGGAAAGGCAUAUACACUGCAGAGAAUUUCGGAGCAUUAUGAUUUUAUACUCCGAAAUUGGGGGGCAUGUGUUGACACCAUUUUUGGACACGUACCCAGGGAUCGGUAAAGUAUAGAUCGGCAGAUGGAGCAACGGUAACUAGUCUGCAGGGAAGUUGUCGAUGAGGGUGAUUGCCAAUGAGGAGACAGUUGAAUAUGACUGAGUCCAGAAGAGGUGACGUGUUUGUGCCGAUGAUCAGUAUUGGUGUUUGCCGAUGGCCAUAACAGGAAGUCUACCGAUGGUUCUAAAGGAAAGCAUGGAGAUUGUCGAUUGAUCUGUGGCGGUGUCCCGGUCGGUUACAAGGGGAUAGUUUUAUGUUUUCCUUAAUAAUUUAAAUUCGUUUUGUAUGCGGAUUCUGUUUAGUUUGGAAUUCGAGUCCUAGUCGUGUCUGAUUGUAGCUCUUUGAGCAGGGUAUAAAUGUAGACCCUAGGGCUUUGUAAUAAGAUAUCUAUCAAUCAUUCAAACACAAGUUUUUACUCAUAUUCUAGCAUCGACUUAAGCUCGGCGUAUUCUCGAGUUCCCCGUGAAUACCUCUUGGCCGUGACAUCCGGGCGCAUCGCUGUUGUCGGGACUAAAGUAUUCGAGUUAUCACCUUUGCCGAUAGUAAGGUCAAAUCGGCUGGCACGCCUUAACUUUUGAAUCAGGUAUUAGCCCUUUGUGUUUGCAGAUCCGCUUUCGCAUCAACAGAUUCCCAACGAAAAUAGGUUGAAAUAGGCAAAGUUUGCUUGCUGUCCUAGAAAAUCCAGAGAGCAAGCACUUCGCAGCAGCUUCUUGUAACAAUCACAACUCUUAAACUACUCAGCCAAAUGUCAUGACAUUUUGGCACAAGGUAGGUAAGUAAGUUAGCUACAAGUUUGUUAUAGACAAGUUUUCCAGAAAACUUAAUCUUCAAGCUGUUCUUAAACAAUUGUUAUCAGCUACCCAGGAUAUGCUCUAGGAGAGAGAUAAUUAGCAAAACAAUAUUUUAACACAUAUUAAGAAUGUAACAUUGGCUCAAACCAAAUGCACCAGUAGAUGGAACAUGUCUAAGAAACACCAUAAAACAUCAUGGCAAGGUUUAAACUCAUUUCUAGCAUCACCUUUUCCAUUUAUUUAAUUAUUAAGAUGAUUUAAUGAGCAUAUAUCACAAGUGCUCUAAAAAUUCUAAUAAAAUUACAGCAUGCUAUAUAUGCUACCAAAAGAUUACUGUAAAAUUGUUAGAGCUCUUGCCCAUGUGGAUAGUGAGAUACAAAAAUAACAAGCUAACAAUGGCAUCAAAGGUAUAAAUGUGAAACCCUAUCAAAAAGUGUCAAACAACAGAUUUCAGAUUUUUCAUAGCUUGGUUUACACAUGAUUGCAUCACUCAGUGAGUUUCAUCAUAAAAUAAAUUAUAAUCUAUUUACUAAAAAUACCACAAGAAACUCCUAUUUAAACAAGAAAUAUUUAUAACUUCACUAACAGACAUCCAAAAAUCAUGAUAAAUUUAUCAGAGCCUACUCAUGUCAUAAGUAACAACAGUUUAAAUUUGCAUGGCCAGAAGACUCACAGAUCUCAAGAUAUAAUUACCUCCUAUUUAAACCAGAUUAAAUCAUAUCUAUUUAUUUCUGCAAAAACAUGGCAUGUUUUAUAUUUUUAAUAAAAACUAGACUGACACAAGAACCUAGCAAAAUUGGAAUCACUCCAUUUGGAUCUGUAUAACUCAUGUUAUGAAUUUUUCAAAAACAACACAGGAUCUGCUAAACAGUGGACUAGAGGGGAGAGAGAGAGGCUGACAGGGGGACUCACUGGUCAGUGGGACCCGCUCGACAGUGACACAGAGACAGCGGAGAGCUCGUCGCCGGCGAAACUCGACGACAGCGAGGUCUCGGUCGAAUCCAAGGGCACCAUCGUGACCCUAUCACCAAGGCGGACCUGCCGAGGUGCGAAACCCUAACUCUACCGAGCUCUAGGGGGCUCGCCGGCGUGAAUGGCGGCUCAGCGGCGCUGCGGGCGGUACGCCGGCGUGCUCAGCCGAUGCCGUCCCAGUUGAGGUUCACGCCGAGCUUCAGUGAGUCAAGGGGAAGCGCUAGGAACAAAAAUGGAGAGAAAUGGUGGAGCAGGGAGGCCUGGCCACGUUGUCGGUGACCUAUGCGAACUCCGGCGAGGUGGAGCUCGCGACGGAGUUGACAAUGCGGCCUCACCAGUGCUCGGCUAAGGGAAAGAGAUGGACGUCGAGGUAGAGGACGUCGAGGCGGAGCUCUGGGCGGGCUGGCUUGGCCGGAGACGUGGUGGAGCGGCCGGAAGAGCUCGCCGAAACGCGGCGGAGCUCACCGAGGCGAUGGCGGAGCGAAAUGUGGAGCGCUGGAGGAGGGAAUGGCGUGUCUGAGGCGUCCAUCCGGUGCGUGGCGACUUGUGGACGACAUUGGGGCUGACAAGAGGGGCCAUCGACGGUGUAUGGCCGAUAGGUGGCCGGACACGCGGCGGCGGGUGAGCUCUGUCCAAACUGAAUCGGGCGAUUCAGUCGCCAUGGCCAGUGACUGAAGCUCGAUCUUUGCCAACGUUUUACUCGGAAUUCACUCGAUGGUUUUGGCUCAGAUUUGUUCCAUUGGGUAGAGCUACACGAGAUCUACAAGUUUGUUUCCAGGAUCAAAGUCUAACUCGGCCUAGAUUUCAAUCUACAAAGCUCCCAAGUACCCUACCUCGAAACUGUGUCGAUUCUGACUUAGGCAAAUUUGGCUAAGUGUGGAAACAGCCCUGAUUUUUGCCUUGUGAGCUAAUUUUGAAUGUGUUCCAUGCAUUUUCAUAAAAAGUCAUCAACACAACUUUUGUAUCUUAUGAAAGUUACUACAACUUUGUUUCAGAUGUCAUUUACAUGCAAGGUCUCUAACACCAGUUUCAUAAAACAUCUUUGAAAAGAGGUUUAGGGGGUUAAUUAGGUCAACCUAGGGUUAACCAUGACUUAGCGGCAUUUUUGGGCAAAACUUUCAACAUAAACUUUAUUCUAAAAGUUAUUCUAAACAUGAUUAAAGUAUUUUGGAAGACAAUGUGCACUUAUAUGCAUUGGUCACCCAUUACUAACACACAUAGCAAGUCAUACAAGCAAUUUAAUCACAUAAUGUAUACACCAAAUGACAUGUGAUCAUGGUAUGAUGCUCAUGAGUGAUCAUGAUGAUGCUUAUGUUGAUGCAAUGCUCAUGGUUAACAUGCAAGCUAACACUAGAAGUGUUACAACGAUAGCGAUUAGGAUGUUCUCCGUCUGCUAGUCUUCUUUGAUCCUUGAAUUCUGUGGAGCUCAAAUAGACAACAAAACUUUGUGGAACUAGUUAAGUGUUAGCAUAAAAUCUCUUAGCUGUUAUCAUGUUGAGCUUCCUCUAAUAAAUAUUACUUUCUUUGGUAGGAUCAUAAAUUUAUUUUCCUAUUUUCAAUUUUAUAGGACAGGAAUAUAUUUAUUUUAUUUUUACGCCACCAUAGUGAAUGUACUUAUGGGUUUUAUGCCAUGAGCACACUCACAUGGGGCUUACUAUUUUUAACAUUUUUAUUUUCUUUUCAAGAUAGCAUGAUUAACUAACAAGCCAUUUAAGGAAAGUAAAUAAUUUAAGGGAUAUGGGAAUGCAGAAAGAAUAAAUAUGGAUAACUACCGAUUUUACCUUUCGGCUAGGGUUCAAUAUUUUAAGUCUUCUGAACAAGACUUCUCACCGUGUUUAUUCUUUAGGUGCGUCAUUUGAUUCAGGUGUGGACCUUGACGUCUGCACCUCUUGAUAUGGUGUCACCCAUGUUCUUCGUUUGCCCAGCCGUUCGAAGUGCGGCGUUUGCAGCAUCCUGCUCUAUGUGUUUGUGCUCGUAGAUCCAGGUCCUUCACUUGGUGGAGUCUGGGAGUUGCAAAACUCCUCCAUGUUCUGCUCGAAGUGUACCUGUUCAUAGAGACAAGGCAGAGAUCAAGUGCAUGGGCCCUGUUGGUGGAAAACACCAACAGAACCAAAAGUGUAUUUGUUCUUCUCUAACCUUAAGCAUAGUGAGCAAGACAAAGUUGAUGGAUAAUAAGAUCAUGAGUGUAGCAUUUAAAACAUUUAUCAGAUCAGAUCGUUCAACCUAAUGGAAAGAUAAUCUAUCUAUAUUUAUGUUUUUUAUAUAUCUUCCAAAGAUUGAGUGUGCAACAUUUUAGCUCAUAUGAUUAGGAUUGUGGGAUCACAAAGGUGGAAGGACUAAACAUGUUGAGUCAAUUGGGUUGGUUAAUCUAGAGUUGUAAAUCAUACAUAUUUGUCUCUUUUAUUCAUGUGAACACCAGAACCAAGGAGAAGCUUAUAAAAGUGAUAGUCAAGUACCUUAAGAUGUUACCUUACUUGAAGAGUGAUGGUAUAAUAUCACCUUGUGGAAGCUUUCCUUUCUUAGCGGUUGUGCAUCGUGUUUGUGGCACCCCUCCAUGGACCAUCUCUUAUGAGCUAUGUUUUCCUUGUGUAAAUUGUUUAACUUCAUGUGUCUCUCUCUUUGUCUUCAAUGUGAGAUUAUCUCAGGACUUCCCAGGUCGAUAUUGAAUGUUUUCCUGCAGGGGUUAGUCCAAGAAUAUAUGCAAUAUGUACUAUAGCAUACUAUCGACUCAAAAAUCAACCUAGACACCAUGUCUAAUUUGAUUAAGGAGGGCAUUUUAACCUAAGCACCAUGCUUAAUUCAAAGUCCCUUGGAAGUAAGAUCAUCAUUCCUAAACUAAGCACCAUGAUUAUUUAAGAGAUAAAUGAAACUACUCCAAACCUAGACAUAUACUAAAGCAAAUAAAGGUAGCAUGAGAGCAUUUAUAGAGAUCUACUCAAGUGGAGAUGAAGUAGUGUGAUUAGUAUUUAACAAAUUGAGCAAGUCUCAAAGGUAGGGACAACUAGCAUAGCAACAUGGCAAAGGAUGUUUUUAUGUAAAGUACUCCCCCAAGCUUGAAUUUUUCAAAAUUCUAGUUUAGAUGAAUUUAAUUCAAUGUUGUAUCAUGAUUGGUUAGACAUACCUUGCGCUUGUCAUUCAUCCGAUCUUCUUGCUCCAAUCCUGGAAAGGUUAGUGACAAGAAUACCUGAAGGAAUAUUUUUACAAUUACCUUUAUAUGCUCAAUACACAAGGUAAUGUUGCAAAUAAUUAAAAGCUCAUGUUACAAUCUGAUGAGUGCUUAUUUUAGGACACUAAGCUUGUCCUUGGAAAACCAUCAAUUUAUGUCGGUGAAGUGGUUUCCCCUCCAACACUGACCUAUAUCAAGAUCAACUCAACGAGAUCUGCAAUAUUUAUUAUAGACAUAUGCAUCGACAACCGCCCUUUUAGAGUUUAUAUAAAUAGAAAGGAAGAGGGGGUUGGAGAUCUCAAAUGUGGUGAUGUUGGAGAGACCAAUAGAUUGGGAAGAUGUUGCAUAUGAGCAUGGAGUAAACGAAGUGGCUAUGAAAUAAAUUUCAUGCUCAUUAAUGUUAUCUUCGUCUCCAAUCUGAAUGUUCAGAGUUUCUCCUAGAUUGGUCUCGCUUAUGUCCUCUUCUGUAGUUGGAUGAAUCUCAUCUUUAGAGGGAGUCAAGAACUCACCAUUUGAAAUUGAGCCAAAGUCAGAAUCCAUUAAGGCUUCUUCCUUGUCCAUUCAUUCUACACAUUCUAGCCAUUUAGAACUUGUGAUCAGGAAAGGGGAGGUGUUAGAAUUUUCUAUAUGGCUUAGCUCUCCUUCUAUGACAUUACUUGACAUGUCAUCCUCAUGGUCUUUAUGACUCCUAUGGUUUGAUCGUCUUGAUGGAUUGCUAGGAUCAUCAUGAGACUUAAAAGGAGAGGGAUAAGAGGGGUCUCUAAGGUCAAGGAUGGAUUUAGAAUUUGUGAACAUGAAAGGGGAGCAGAUAGAAUCUUCUAUAUGGUUUAGCUCUCCUUCACUUGAUAUGUCAUCGUCGACAUCUUCAUAACAGGAACCAGGACAUUCUCUAAGAGAACCAUUAUUGCAAGGAUUUGAAUUAUCCCUGCUUGAAGGUCUCUUAUGGAACCAUAAGUCUAACCAUCAGCUUCUGAAAGAUUUAAGGUCAGAAUUCCUUCCUCCCUUGGAGAAAUUUGGGGUAUUGAUGGUUUAGGAUCGAUAGCUAAAGUUUGGGAUUGAAGUGGUUGUAAGUUGGCUAUCGAAACUUCCUUUUCUUGUCUAAGAACUGAUUCUUUCUCUUUCUCAGGGAUAUAAAUGCUAGGAGACUUUCUGCUCAAUAGAUCAAUCAAAUUCCAAGCUUCACUAGUGGACAAGCGGUGGAAAGAUCCUCCAGAGGCCGCAUUAAGGGUUUGCUUAUUUUCCCUGCUCAGGCUAUUAAAAAAGUGAAUUAGAAGAACUUAUUCUAGAAUAGAAUGAUUUGGGCCAGUGAGAGUAAGGUCAAUAAAGAGGUCCCAUGAUUCGCCAAGAGAUCUUCUUCUAGUUGUCUAAAAGAAAGAAUCUCGAUCCGAAGAUCUGCCACUUUGGAGAUCGGAAAAUAUUUAAAAAGAAAACUAUUGUAUAGCUCCUUCCAAUCUCCAUGAGCACUUCCUAUGUUGAGUUUAUACCAAUGUCUAGCUUUUCCCGUUAAAGAGAACAGAAAGAGCUUCCAUUUAAGGGUCUCAUUAGACAUGCCUUCAAUGCGAAGGAGGUCACAGACUCGAUAAAGCUCUCUUAGGUGUGUGUAUGUGUUUUCCUCACCUUCUCCUGAGAAAGGUUGUUUUUGAACAAAUUCUAUGUAUUCUGGGCUUAUCUCAAAACUAGAUGUCAUGAUAGGCUUUGAAGAUUUUGGUGGUUCGAGAUGUGUGGCCGUAGGUCAAUGAAACUGAUAGAUAGACAUGUUUGCAUUCAUGAUAGACUAGAAAUCAAGGAUUAGAUAAGAAGAAAGAAUAGCAGAGAUGAGGAAAAGGAUAAAAGGAAAAUAUAUUAUUAUUAUUAUUAUUAUUUUUUAGAAAAAUGAUUAAGCUAGUUCGUAGUCAACUCAGCAACCGUCUCCCCGGCAACAGUGCCAAAAAGCUUGUUGACACUUGCUAACACCACUUGAAUACUAGGUUGUCAUCCCCAGCAUGGCACUAGAGUGUACUAUGGUAUUUAUAUGCACGCAGAUAAAUCCGCAAGCGCACGGAUACUGCUGUAGCUUUUACCCGGUUAAAGGUUUUAUCGUAUCCACAGGGAAACGGGAGAACCAACUACGCUCUAACUUAACCAAGAUAGAUAGAUAGGUGUAAAUAGGAAAGAUGGUAGAAUCGAAUAAGAACAAUAUUAAAGGUACAAUGAUAAUGGGGGAAUAUAGAGUAGAGCAAUGUAAUAGAUGGGCGAUAAUAGGAUAAUAGAGUGGAUAACUAGGGUUUCUCUACUUCAAAGGGUUAUGUCUGUCUGUGGCGGACCAUAAGUAUAAAACAACACAGAGGAUGCUUAUACCUAAGGUCGAGGACUCCUACCAGUCCUACUAACGGGAGGUGGACUACAGAGGACUCUGUAGCUGUCUCCUAUGCGGCCUACCACGCGAUCUGGCUAAUAGGGGAUAUCCACAAGUAAUCUAGGCCUAAGCACCACGCUUACACCUAUACUACAACUGUCACCUAUAGCGUCCUAUAGAUUAAAGUACUCAAAAGUGUUAUGAACCAGAACAUACAUGGAUAGUAAUUGCAUAAUGAAAUAGAAGUAGAUUACCAGAGUCAUCCCAUGAGCAAGGUUGAUUAGAGCUUGAUCAUGGCGAAGUACAACCGGAGGAAGAACCGACAGGCCAUCCUCUCCUCCAAUCCUCCCUCGCUCUCCAUCUCGCUACUAUCUAGAUCUACUCUAUUUAUAGAAGAGAGGAGUGCUCUCAUCUCCAAACCCUAGCUUUUGCUCUGUCUAUCAAUAAUGAAUACGGGGAUUUAGAGGUGUCUUCUCCAGGGGCCAGGGGCCCUGCUUAUAUAGCCCUUCCAAAUGAACAUGGGCUAUCAGAUCAAACUGACCUUAAUCGCAUGGUUUUCCUUAAUCCUUUAGGUUGGUGGAGCAUAAUCCGUGAGGCGGAGCCUGAUUGGCUGCCAGAGCAGGGCGGGCGCCCUAGGGGGAGGGUGGGCGCCCUGCCCCCGGGCCCGCUCGGCCUCCCGUUCAUUCUCGUGGCUUCUGGACUCUCCUAGAUGAUAGAAAAUUGGCGCACACGUUAAUAUCUCUAUGUAAACCCGAUGUGUGAGCCUUUCCACCAUAUUUCCUGAUAACCCCCUGCAGAAAUAGACAAACACCAAAACUCGUGGAAUUUUUUCAGAUAAAACCCUAAGUCUGGGUGUUGGUUGCAUUUGGAUCCUUUUCUUUAUUUAUUUGAUGAUUAAAUUUGAUACUUAAGGAUCAUCAACAGCGUCAUUGCCGGGGAAGGUGAAAGCAUCAAAGGAUAAUGAGCAUCACUGCACACACUCAAGGAUUUAGCACCAUCCACCCAUCUCACUCAUGUAGCUUUACCCUUGUCUUUUUGUCUAUUUUUAUCAUAUGCAGGGUAAUGUAUGAACGGGUUUGAUCUCCUAGAUAACAUCAUUGAUAAUUCAGAUACAUUGAUCAGGAAAACAAAGGCUAAGUUGAGAAGGAAUCAAUCAAUAUCAUCAACAUCUCAACUUGUCAAUCCUCCUAAGUCAGAAGAUCAACCUACUCAAAGUUUGACACCAGAGAUUGACUUCAUGGCUAACAAGUCACUUCGUGAGUUCUUAGCUCCCACUGCGGCCAACAUCCGUACUGGGCCAGCUGUGGACAUUAGUGGAUCAUUUGAGCUCAAGCCAACGCUAAUCAACAUGGUGCAAGCAAGCCAGUUCUGUGGGAAAACCCAUGAAGAUGCUAGUGCUCAUCUCCAACACUUUCUAGAGAUCUACAACACUUUCACUAUCAAGGACGUCCCCAGAGAUGCUAUAUUACUUCGCCUUUUCCCAUUCUCACUCUUGGGGUAAGUGAAGCACUGGUUCUAUGCCAACAAGAAGAAGAAUACUACAUGGGCACUAUGUUCCACCAAUUUCCUAGUGAAGUUCUUUCCCAUAGGUAGGACCAAUGCUCUGCGUGGGAAGAUAUCGAGCUUUCAGCAACAACAUGAUGAGACAGUCCCAAAACCAUGGGAGCACUUUUAGGACUACAUACUCGAGUGUCCUCAUCAUAGGAUGGAGAAUUGGCUGCUCAUGCAUGUUGGGUAUUCUUAACGUCAUUACCAAAAAUAGACUUAGUUUUCUAAUUCUAAUAACGGCACCAAAAAUGCCAAACCUAUCGCUCAUACCACUUAAGCCAAGUUGUCAUCCCCAGCAUGACAUGAGAGACGCGGUAUUAAAAUAUGCAAUUGCUCAUCUAAAUAAAUAAUAAAUGGGAUCUGCAAGCGCACAGAUUAAUACCGAUGUAGCAUUUUAACCGGGAAGUAUUCCAGGUAUCGUUAUUUAUAUUUUUACCACUGGGAAGGGAUUAGCAAUCAUCAAUGUUGAUUAUAGAAUGGAAUAUAAGAUUGAGUAUCUAUCAUUGCAUGUAUAAUUGAGAACAUUUAUCUAACUCUUUCAUACAGGGAUAAGUGUCACAUAAUUGAUAUAAAGUAAUGAAUAGUGACCAAGAUAAUUAAUCUGAUAAGCAUAACUUAGCCACAUAUAAAUAUGAUAAGCACCUCAAUUAGAUAUUCUAGCAAGUCAUUAGCAUGGAAUUAGGACGAACUACAAGAAUAUUUCCUAAGUUAUUCUUAACUAUAUAGCCUAGCAUAUCAUAGUUAGUACAAUUAUACUUAACAAUCAUUGCGAGAAAGGACUACGGUCAUGCAUAGUGAUAUUAGCAAGGAAUAUGAGAAACAUCGUAAUCACUCCCGUGUAAUAAUGUUGCUCUGCCAGCCCAAUACACGAGAGGGGGACUAUAUAAGAAUCAAUGGAGCUGUCACUACCACGAACUACCCCACGAUCUGGCAUAUUAGGUACAAUCGCAGAUAAAUACCGUAUAAGCACCAUGCCUACACAAUAUCUAUCAUUUACCCAUGGAUCCGAUGGAUAAACGCUAUACGAUCCUAAACAUGUAAAUAAUUCCAAUCUAACUAAGCCAAGUAUAUAACUAUGAUAAACUAAGAACAAUAUAAUUGCGAAUAUAAACAAGUAGAGCAAAGUCAUAAGCAAUAUAUUGAAGUAGAACAAAGUCAUAUUCAUAAUAUUGAAGAACAAAGAUGAACAAUUGAAGAACAAUGGAGAAUUACCAAGAAUCCUCUUGACAGAUCCGGAAACCAAUCGAAGAUUGACUCCUUCUAGUUCUAAUCCUAUGUAGCUAUGCUAAUCUAGAUAUCUAAUUGAUGUGGUGGCUCUAGGCUUGAUCAGAGUCUUCUUCUCCUUUGAUGAAUAAUGAAUUAGGGUUGAGAGGUCCUCUCCUUCAGUGAAUAUGGGCCGUCGGAUCAAACCGACAUUGAUUGAACGGUUAUCCUUGAUCCUUUAGGUCGGUGGAGCGUAAUCCCGAAAGAUAGUUCUGAUUGGACUCUAACAGGGGGCGGGCGCCCUGGUCCCUAGGGUGGGCGCCCUGGGCCAGGCCCCGUUCUGCCUCCGCUUCAUUCCCGUGUCUUCUGGAGUCUUCUAGAUGUAGGAUAAUUGCGCAGUACAUUAAUAUCUCUAUGUAAUCCCGACGUGUUGGCCUUUCUUCCCUAUUUCCUGAUAACCCCCUGCAGAAAUAGACAAACACCAAACCUCGUGGAAUUCUGUGAGAUAAAACCCUAAGUCUGGAUGUUAAUUUCAUUUGGAUCCUUUUCUUUGUUUAUUUGAUAAUUAAAUUUGAUACUUAAGGACCGUCAACAAACUCCCCCAAGCUUACCUCUUGCUCGUCCCUGAGCAAGGAUAAUCUCAGUGAUGGAUCAGAAGUUGCUGCAAUAUCUUUAAAAAUUGAUGGUGCACAUGCUUUUAAAUGAGGUCUCAUCUCUGAGUUAGAGUAAACUGUCAAGACUUAAAACUUACUUACUUUACCUUUUACCAUGGGACUUGUAACCGUCACUUCUGUCUUGAGUAGUUAAAAGAUAGAACAGUCUAAUCAAGUGCCAUGUCUCUUAUUCUUGAUCAGCUAUAGCUCUGGAGUUUUUGCAGAUUUUCAAAUAAAACUCAGAGAUUCCAUGUAUGACUCUCUCAAAUAUCUCUUUUGUGGUAUUUCUAGAUCCUUACCAAGGCAGUGAUGGUAUAUGCCUUCUGUCAAAAUAUAUAGUAUUUGUGGUAUAAGGCAUAGUGACAUUGCCUUCUCUCUCACCCUACUCUAAUAAGGCUUUUAAUAUCUAGAGCUCAUAGGUGGGAGAUAAAGUAUACAUACCUACAAGACAUUUAUUACAUAGUCAAACCAUGGAUCCAUAUAAACAAGUCAAUAAGUCAAAUCAAGAUGUGCAUGUGUGGCGAAUGAAUGGUGUAUGGUGAUGAUGGUGAUAACAAUGGUGAAAGUAUAAUUCUACUUUUGCUCUUUUGAGGGGAUACAUACCUUUCUUGCUCUUUUGAAACUUGAGGAGAAUGAGAUGCUCUGUAUUAUUUUUUUCAGGAGGGUAUCUUGUACGCCUAAUUCUACUGUCGGACACUUGUCCAUUUUUACCUCUCGUCUCACUUUUUCUUUUCUUUCGAGGUUCCGGGCACUUGCCCCUUUUUAUUUCCUCGUAUCUCUUUUUUUAGAGCACUCAUCUCUUGAGAUAAUAUAGCAAGUGGUAGUAACAAGAUAACUUGAGCAUUUAUUUCACAGGGGAAAAACAGAAAUAUUUUUGGCCAUUCUCUCCUAGAUUAGGUGUAGAAUGUUUUUGGGUGGUUUCUGGAGAUGGAAGUGGGUGGAUAUAUGUGGAUGCGUACUCCCGGAAUAGAAGUAGCAUGUGUGAGUGAACGUGCAAGUGAAUCUUGAUUUUAACCACAUGACAAGCUCCUAAGGGUCUACACAGCUUGACCACACUCAAUGCUCAUAAGCAGUAAAAAGUAAAUGUGUGGCUCAAUGUCUACCAAGCAUGUAUAUAUGGCUGUGGUAGGAAUUUAAAUUCUCAUCAUACAGGAACUCAUCAUGCAAUAUUUUAAAGAUUUUAAAAGAUAAAAUUCUCCAGAAUACUUGCAUCUCUAGGAACAGAUAAACAGCAGCUCAACCUUCCCAUAUCAUAUCCGUUAACAACUUAGACUUGAGAUCAAGUUCUCUUCCCACAAGUUCAGGUUCAGAGCACGCUUUAAAUUAUAACAGUUUUGUCUAAACUAGAGAAAGAACUCAAAUUUGAAAAUUAGGCAGAGCAACUAUUCAUCAUAUCCAUGCUAGAGUUUUAUUAUUAAGAUUCAGUUUAGCAUAGCCACUUUAUUUAUUAAGCACACUAAGCAAAAGACAUAUAUUUAUAUAGGCACAAAAUCUUUAUUUGGUUUUUCAUAGUUAUGUAUAUAUUUUAAUAUAGUAUAAGUAUAAAGAUAGAUAGAAAUACUUAUCGGGAUAAAUGGGGGUGCUCUCCCCCAAGCUGAAUUUUGACGUAAUUUCUCUUGAUGUAGCUAGCGGGUGGCAGAGGUGUAUUUAAAAGUCGGCAGUAUCCUGACAGCAAUAAGAAUGUCCUCCGUCUGCUAGUCUUCUUGAUUCUUAAAUUCUGUGGAGCUCAAAUAGACAACAAAGCUUUAUGGAACUGAUUAGGUGUUAGCAUAAAUAUCUAGCCUUUAUCAUGUUGAGCCUCCUUAAUAAAUAUUGCUCUCUAUUUUUAUAUUUUUGUUUUAUAAAGCAGAAAAGAAAUAUUUAUUUUAUUUUUAUGCCACCAUAGUGAAUGUACUUAUGGAGUUUAUGCCACUCGUAUACUCACAUGGGGCUUACUGUUUUUCACAUUUUUAUUUUCUUUUUUAGGACAAUAUGAACAUAAUUAACUAAGUAAACUAUUUGAAAUAAUUGAAAAGAAAAGGAUAACUACCAAGUUUACCUCUUGGCAAGGCGUUCGGAGUUUUACGUCCUCCGAACGAGACUCUCCGCUUUCUCAAUUGUCCUGGGAUUCGUUGGGUGGCACAGUCGGUACUUCAGGCAACGCCUCUUCUUCAUGUAUAGUUAUCUUCUCUUUCCACACCUGACUCGGUGCUACGGUCUCCUCUGGAUAAUUCUGUUUAAGUUGUAUGUCUUCAGACCUUAUCACUUCUCCUUCAUAAUCUGCCCAUCCGUCCUUGAUGAUUUGCCUCCUCUGGUUGCGGUUGCGUCGUUUUCUUCUGACCUGCUUAGAGUCUUCAACGAUAUAGUUAGGGUCAGUAAAAUAACGGCGUACCUUCUCUGAGGGGAAGUGCAUAUGGACUUCUCCAGUUCCAAUGUUGAUGAUUGCUUUAACGGUGCUGAGGAACGGUCUUCCAAGGAUGAUGGGUGGAUCGUAAUCGUCUUCUCCCAUGUCAAUAACUUGAAAGUCUGUGUAGACAAAAUGAUCGUCUAUUUUGACUGGGACAUCAGUCACUGUACCUUUAACCUCUCGAAAUGUCUGAUCUGCCAUCUGGAGCUAAAUGUAUGUUGGUUUUAGGGGCAUGGUUCCGAACAAGAGCCGAUAGGUGAUUGCGGCCAUUAUGUUGACGCCCGAUCCGGUGUCGCAAUUCGUCUUGUAGAAAUUUUAUCCACUUAUGGAGCAAUAGAUGCUUGGCAUUCCUGGGUCGUCCUUCUUGGUCAGAAACAGUGACUUAAGUUGAUGAUCUUGACCUCCAUGAACUGCAGUGACUAUCUUAGCUGACUCGGUCCACACUUGCUUGUUCCUGUUCCUCCUGUUGGUCCUCUUCCUUGAUUCAUGUUGAGAUUUCUAUGGGAUUUGUGUAGUCUUGUUCUUCAAGGAAAACGUCUCCUUCCUCCCUUUGAUGUAGAAACUGAUCUUGGCAGCACUAGCGUAGAUGAUAGCUCCCGAGCUGUUCAAGAAUGGCCUCCCUAAAAUGAUGGGUGCCCUCUCAUCAUUACCAGUCUCUAUCACCACCGAAGUCUGCUGGGGCAUACAAGGUACCAUCUCGGACGCAGAGGUUCUUCAAUAUUCCUUUUGGAAAACUUAUCGUCUGAUCUGCAAACUGCAAACACAUGGUUUUUUCUAAUAAAGGAUAUGUAAAGAAUUUUUCAUAGAGUACCCUGGGAAUAAUGUUGACACUAGAGCCAAAGUCGCAGAGUGCUUCUGGGAAGUCCACCAUGUCGAUGGAGAUCGAGAUGACGGGGCACCCUGGAUCGCCUCUCUUGACCGGCAGAAGGUGAGUAGUAACUUCAGUGACGGGGUUACUCGAGUUACCUGCAUCAAACAUGUCUACAAGAUUUGCAGAUUCUAAUCCUUCUGGUUGUGAUGGUAUACCGGGGUUAGUAGUAGGAACAGCAGCAGCUAUUUGAUUUAACUGAGAUUAAAUUAUUUUAUUAAAGCUAAUUUGAUUCUUGAUGGCAGUAGAGAAAUUAUCCAUUCUAUUAUUUAUAUUUUCUAGCAUUUUAUCAUUAGAUGCCAAUUUCUUAGAUAGGUUAUCCAUUAGCUUUCCUUGAUUAGACACUAACUCUCUCAGAGGUGAAAAAUUACUAUUAUUAUUGUAAAAAUUGUUACCUUGAUAAUUACCUGAGUAGUUAGGCCUCUGUUGAUUCCAACCUUGAUUUUGUUGAGGACGAUUGUAGUAGUAGUUGUUGUUGUUGUUGAUGUAGUUCACAUCCUCAAGCAUCUCAGGGCAGUCAUUGCCUGAGUGUCCAGUAUCUCCACACUCCUCACAAGUCAUGUGAGAGUCGCAUAACUUCUUUCUUAUCUCCAGGUCUAUCUUCGAGCUUCUUCAUGAGCAGGUCUAGCUUUGCAGACAGCAUGUCUACCUUCUUGAGCAGAUGCAUACCUCCACCUCUCUUGCAUGUCUGGGUGCUCUCUUCAUUCCAGCUUUGGUUGGACGCCAUAUUCUCCACAAGAGCUGUGGCUUGUGAUAUGGUAAGUGAUAGGAAUGCUCCUCCAGCUGUAGCAUCCAUGGUUUCUCGGGCACUGUUGCCGAGCCCAUGAUAAAACGUCUGCAUGAGUAGCCAACUCUCCAUUCCAUGAUGGGACAUUCUAGGAUGUAGUCUUGGAAGCGCUCCCAUGCUUCUGGAACGGAUUCAUCAUGUUGUUGCUAAAAACUUGUAAUUUUCCCACGGAGAGCAUUAGUCUUGCCCAUGGGAAAGAACUUAGCCAGAAAGUUCAUGGAGCAGAGUGACCACGUAGUAUUCUUCUCCUUUGUAGCGUAGAACCACUGCUUCGCUCUUCCUAACAGUGAGAAUGGGAAGAGGCGAAGUAGUACAGCAUCUCUGGGGACUCCUGAUAUGGUAAAUGUGUUGCAAAUCUCCAGGAAGUGUUGGAGAUGAGCACUAGCAUCUUCGUGUGCCUUCCCACAGAACUGGUUGGAUUGCACCAUGUUGAUAAGUCCAGGCUUGAGCUCAAAGUUGCCAUCGAUCUCUGCAGCAGGUCCAGUGCGGAUGUUGUCCGUAGUCGGAGCUGAUAACUCACGGAUCGAUUUGUUCGCCAUGGCUUCGAAUUCUGAAGACAAGUUUCGGUGAUCUUCUUGAUUGGAUGAAGUUUCUUGCUGAAGUGUUGAUGAUCUCUUCCUGAGCUUGGCUCUUGUUUUUUCUGAAUAACGCUUCGGGAUUGUCAACCAAAUUUCCUGGAAGAUGUCUUCUAUUCAUACAUUCCCCUACAUAGGAUAAAAUAGAAAAAUAUUGGGGUAAAACUGUAUGAGAGAAUUGACAAGCUCAAUCAUAUUAGUAAUGCGAAUGAUGACUCAAAAUCCUAUAUUCAUUCUUGAUUAGAAAUCAACCUUCCCCGGCAACGGCGCCAAAAAUGCUUGUUGUGUAUUCUUAACGUCAUUACCAAAAAUAGAGUUAGUUUUCUAAUUUUGAUAACGGCGCCAAAAAUGCCAACCCUAUCCCUCAUACCACUUAAGCCAAGUUGUCAUCCCCAGCAUGACAUGAGAGACACGAUAUUGAAAUAUGCAAUUGCUCAUCUAAAUAAAUAAUAAAUGGGAUCUGCAAGCGCAUAGAUUAAUACCGAUGUAGCAUUUUAACCGAGAAGUAUUCCAGGUAUCGUUAUUUAUAUUUUUACCACUGGGAAGGGAUUAGCAGUCAUCAAUGUUGAUUAUAGAAUGGAAUAUAAGAUUGAGUAUCUAUCAUUGCAUGUAUAAUUGAGAACAUUUAUCUAACUCUUUCAUACAGGGAUAAGUGUCACAUAAAUGAUAUAAAGUAAUGAAUAGUGAUAAAGAUAAUUAAUCUCAUCAACAUAACUUAGCCACAUAUAAAUAUGAUAAGCACCUCAAUUAGAUAUUCUAGCAAGUCAUUAACAUGGAAUUUGGAUGAACUACAAGAAUAUUUCCUAAGUUAUUCUUAACUAUACAGCCUAGCAUAUCAUAGUUAGUGCAAUUAUACUUAGAAUCAUUGCGAGAAAGGACUACGCCCAUGCAUAGUGAUAUUAGCAAGGAAUAUGAGAAACAUCGUAAUCACUCCCGUGUAAUAAUGUUGCUCUGCCAGCCCAAUACACGAGAGGGGGACUAUAUAAGAAUCAAUGGAGCUGUCACUACCACGAACUACCUCACGAUCUGACAUAUUGGGUACAAUUAGAGAUAAAUACGGUAUAAGCACCACGCCUACACAAUAUCUAUCAUUUACUCAUGGAUCCGAUGGAUAAACGCUAUACGAUCCUAAACAUGUAUAUAAUUCCAAUCUAACUAAGCCAAGUAUAUAACUAUGAUAAACUAAGAACAAUAUAAUUACAAAUAUAAACAAGUAGAGCAAAGUCAUAAGCAAUAUAUUGAAGAAGAACACAGUCAUAUUCAUAAUAUUGAAGAACAAAGAUGAACAAUUGAAGAACAAUAGAGAAUUACCAAGAAUCCUCUUGACAGAUCCGGAAACCAAUCGAAGAUUGACUCCUUCUAGUUCUAAUCCUAUGUAGCUAUGCUAAUCUAGAUAUCUAUUUGAUGUGGUGGCUCUAGGCUUGAUCAGAGGCUUCUUCUCCCUAGAUGAAUAAUGAAUUAGGGUUGAGAGGUCCUCUCCUCCAGGGGCUAGGGGGUCUGGUUUUAUAGUCCUUCCAUGUGAAUAUGGGCCAUCGGAUCAAACUGACAUUGAUUGAACGGUUAUCCUUGGUCCUUUAGGUCGGUGGAGCGUAAUCCCGAAAGCGAGUUCUGAUUGGACUCUAAUAGGGGGUGGGCACCCUGGUCCCUAGGGCGGGCGCCCUGGGCCAGGCCCCGUUCUGCCUCCGCUUCGUUCCCGUGUCUUCUGGAUUCUUCUAGAUGUAAGAUAAUUGCGCGGUACGUUAAUAUCUCUAUGUAAUCCCGACGUGUGGGCCUUUCUUCUGUAUUUCCUGAUAACCCCCUGUAGAAAUAGACAAACACCAAAACUCAUGGAAUUAUGUCAGAUAAAACCCUAUGUCUGGAUGUUAAUUUCAUUUGGAUCCUUUUCUUUGUUUAUGUGAUAAUUAAAUUUGAUACUUAAGGACCGUCAACAAUGCACACAUUCUAUCACGGGCUCAGCAAUAGCACUUGUGAAACCAUGGAUGCUGCCGCUGGAGGAGCAUUCUUAUCACUUACUAUCUCUCAAGCCACUACUCUUGUGGAAAAGAUGGCCUCUAAUCAAGGUUGGAGUGAAGAAACAACUCAGACCUGCAAGAGAGGUGGAGGAAUGCACCAUCUCAAGGAGGUAGACAUGCUAGCUUCCAAGAUGGACCUGCUAAUGAGGAGGCUUGAUGAAAGAGGCACUGAGAAUAAGGAAGUCAUGCACAUUCGUGAUUCGGGCAUGUCUUGUGAAGAGUGUCGAGAAACUGGGCAUAAAGGUACCAACUGCCCGGAGCUGAGGGAGGACGUGAACUACAUCAACAAUAACAACAACUACUACUAAUGUCCUCAGCAAAAUCAAGGCUAGAACCAGCAACAGCGGCCUAACUACUCAGGUAGCUACUCAGGUAAUUACCAAGGUAAUAAUUCUUACAAUAACACUAAUCAACCACCUUUAAGAGAGUUAGUGCUUAAUCAAGGUAAGCUAAUGGAUAACCUAUCUAAGAAGCUAGCAUCUAAUGAUAAAACUUUAGAAUCAAUUGAUAUUAGGAUGGAAAGGUUUUCAAAUGCUAUUAAGAAUCAGCUUAGCUUCAAUAAGAUGCUAGAAUUUCAGUUACAACAGCUUGCUCCUUUUGCUGCCGCCAAUGAUCAAGGUAAGAUUCCUGGACAACUAGGAGAAUUAGAAACUGCAAACCUUGUAGACAUCUUUAAUGUAGGAAGUUACUAGAGUGACCUUCCAAAAGGAAGGUUGGACUCAUCUCUAUCGACCAAGAAAGGUGAUCUAGGGAGACCGGUUAUCCCGAACUCCAUUGGAAGGGAAAACUUCGACAACACAAUCUGUGACUUCGGUGCAAGCAUCAACAUCAUGCCUAAGGUGAUAUAUGAGAAACUUUUAAAUUAUCCUUUAUCACGCACAACCAUGUGUUUGUAGCUUGCAGAUCAGUCACUCUAUUAUCCCAUGGGAAUCAUGGAAGAGAUUUGCGUGCGAGUAGGCAACUCGUACGUACCUACAGACUUCACCAUUGUCAACAUAGAUACCGAUGAGAGGUCGCCUAUCAUUUUGGGACGACCAUUCUUGAACACUGCUGGAGCUAUCAUCUAUGCUAGCAAUGCUAAGAUCACCUUUAACAUCAAGGGCAACAAGGAAGCCUUUUCUUUCAAGAACAAGACAUUGUCAACCCCUGGUCAGAAGGAGACAGUUGGCAAGAGUAACACCCAGAACAAGGUCAAGACCAAGAACAAGGGCAAACAGAAGGCCCAGUCUAAGACAACACAAAUGGUCACUGCAAUACGUAUGAAGUAUGACCACCUGCUCAAGUCUCCACAUCUGAUCAAGAAGGAGGAUCUAGGUGUCCCGACUAUCCUAUGCUCCAUCAACAGAUGUUACUUCUACAACACUGUCUAUGACAUCGGAUCAGGUGUGAACAUCAUGGCCAAGGUAACAUAUAAAUUCCUAUAUGGUACUAUGCCUAUGGACCCCACCUAUGUGCAGCUACAGUUGGCGGACUAGUAUUUUCGCUUCGUGGAUGGGAUAGCCGAAAACGUCCUUGUCCAGAUUGAAGACCACUACUUCCCCACUGACUUCUUGGUCAUUGACAUGGGAGAAGAUGAAAUUGAUCCACCCAUCAUUCUAGGAAGACCAUUCCUCAACACUACCAUGGCCAUUAUAUACAUUGGAACCGGGAAGGUCCAUUUCCAAUUCCCCUUAGAGAAGGUACGCCUGCAUUUCAAUAGCAAUUAUAUAAUUGAGGAAGAUCCCAAGAAGAAUAGGUCAAGAAGAAGGUGAUAUACCCAUCACUAGAAGAAGAAUAAUGUUGUAGACGGAUUGGCUGACUAUGAAGGAGGCUUUUCAAGAUUCGAAGAUCGAUACCUUAACGAAAACGCGUCAAGGGGGAAGUACCAGCAGAAGAAGAGAUAGUGAUCCUAGACAAUCUCUCCUCCAAGUCAGCAUCACCUAUAGAGCAGGUAUGGAAGCCUAAGGUAAAUUCAGAAUUACAUCCUGCACAGGACACAACACCUGUGGCGCCAUUCGAUGCACCUCUAAAUCAGUGAGCAAACAAGAAGGUCCUGUUCGGAGAACUUAAAUGACCAAACGCCGUGCCAAGAGGUAACUUGGUAUUUACCUGCAAUUUCCUUUAUGCAUAUUUACAUCUCUUAAUUGCAUUAUGAGUUGCAUCUUUAUUUUCAUUGCUGCAUAAAAAUAGAAAAUAAAUAUGUUUUGCAUUGCAUCUAGAAAAUUGCUAAGCCCCAUGUAUUUAAUGUGUGAUUACAACUCACACACUUAUCUACUCUGGAGGCACAAAAAUAAGUUUUAGCACAUAUAUUUCUCUGUCUGCAUAUCAUAAAUAUGAAAAGCAUAAAAAUAUUUUGAUCCUACUACAAGAUAAAUGGGUAUAAGAAAGUUCUAUACUUCCAAAGCUUAGAGGAUAAUUACUAACGCUUAAUCAGUUCCACAAGCUUUGUUGUCUAUUUGAGCUUCACAAGCUUCAAAGGGACAAGAAGAAUUAACAGGGAGAAGGAUGUCUUGUCCCCUGUUAGAGUACUGUCCACAUUACGCAUGUGUUGUUUCUGAUAGCAAGUACCUACGACGCUCUAGGAGGAUCAGUACGCCUUCACUGCCUGCCCGCAACCUCAGGGGACUAUGUCAACAUCCAGCUUGGGGGAGAUCAACCCUCGUAUACCGAGCUAAGUAUCUCUUACUUACUCCUCUAUAUAUUCCUAGAAUGUUAUGACAAGAUAAAAAGAUGAAUAACUUUAGAAAUCUAAUAAAUAUUUUAUCUUUCAUAAUUAAUUUUGCUAGCUAUGGAGAGAUCUUAAGGAAUCUGAUAAAAUAAACCUCUAGAAUAAACUCUUACAUGGAGAUGAUGAAUAGUUGCUCUAUCGUACUUGCAAGUAUCUAAUUUUCAACCUUGUACUCUCCUGAGUUUUAGACACAACUAUUUAGACUUAAGAUUUUGCUCUAAACCUGAAACUUGUGGGUAGCAGUUUCUUGAUCUAAGUCUAGGUAGUUGAUGGAUAUGAUAUGGGAACGUCUUGAGCUACUAUCAAACUUGCUCCUAGAGAUGCUAUUGUUCUACAGAAUUUAUUUUGAAAACUUUAAUUGCUACAUGAUGAGUUCCUUUAUAACAAGAGUUUAAAUUCCUACCACAGCCAAAUACUCAUGCUUGCUAGAUUAGGAAAACCUCCACUUAUAUUUCAACCUAUAAGCAUUGAGGAUAGUUAAGCUGUGUAGACCUUAAGGAACUAGUCAUGCAGUUAAUGUCAAUAUUAUGUGCUCUCCAUCCAUUGAUAUUAGCUAGCUACUUUUGUCCUCAGAAGUACGCAACCACUUACAUCCACCACAUUCACUAUGUGCUACUUCUGUUCCUAGAAGUACCACCCACAUAUACACACUACACUUUGUGAUGUUUGUAUCCUACAAACAUGCACUAAUGCUGCUCCUACCCUGGGAGUAUGUAUUCCUUCAUCUAUUGCCAUUAUGUCUUAUUCUACUUAUCCAAUAAAGCUCCAAUUAUUUUAGUUGAUACUCCCUACUAUUAUCAGUGCAUUAAAAGGGAUGGCUGAUCUUAAAAACUGAGAAAAAAGAAAGAGGACAAAAGUCCCGAUGCAAAAGAAAAGAAAGACAGCCAAGUCCAUAUUCUUAGUUUACGGAGGUAUAUUUUUCCCAAGGAGCAAAUGUAGAAUUAGAUACUCACCAACUGUUAUCACCCCUCAUAACCACUUCAUCCUUAUCAUUCACUUCAUUCACUCACAUAUGACUUGAUUGUUUAAUUAGUUUCUAUGGAUCCACGAUAACUAUGCAAUACAUGUAAGUAGGUUUGAAUAGUCAUUCCCACCUAUGAGCUCCACAUAAGCCAAUUAGAAAUAGGGUGAGAGAGAGAAAGCAAUUAUGCCUUCGUCCUACAAAUACCACAUAUUUUGAGAGCUGAGAGAAGGCAUACUCACUUGCCAAGGAGAGGAUCUAAAAAUACCAGAUAUGAGAGACUGGAUAGUGUCAUACAAGGAAACUCUGAGUUUUAUUUGAAAAUCUUGCAAAACUCUAGAAUAAUAGUUGAUCAAAGGGUAAGUAACAUAGUGCUUGACUUAACUAUUCUGUCUUUCAACUGCCCAAGACCUAAGUGAUAGCUACAAGCUCCAUGGUGGACGGUAAUAUGGGUAAGUUUUGAGUUAGAAUAGUUUACUCUAAUCUGGAGGAGAGUCCUUGUUUGAACAUAUGUGUUUUUGUGAGGUAUGAACGCAUUGUAGCAAAUCCUGAUCCAUCGCUGAGUCUAUCUUUGCUCAGGGACGAGCAAAAGGUAAGCAUGGGGGAGUUUGUUGACAGUAGAUAAGUACUCUUUUUAACCAUCAACAUAGCAUGAGAAAGGAUUAAAAUCAGAAUAUUAUUUAGCUAUAGGGGUUAUCACUAACAGAACUCCACAAGUUUUGGUGUUUAUCUAUUUUUGCAGGGGGUUUUUAGAAUAAGAACAAAAGGAGGUCCACAUGUCAGAUUUACAUAGAGAGAAUACAUGAAACGUCAACUCAAGAAUACUAUAGAAGACACGGAAAGGCGACCCUGUGAAGUGGGGCCCCGAGGCAGCCAGGCAGGGGCGGGCGCCCCUGAUAGGUGGGGCGGCCGCCCAGCCCCCUCCACCAAUAAGGUACAACCACAUGGAUCCUGCCUCCACCAACUUUGAGGAUUAAUCUUAAGUGCAUGUUUAAGUUGGUUUGAUCCAAGGCCUAUGGUGAUUCCUAGGAGGCUAUAAAUAAAGACCCUAACCCCCUUUGGAGGAGGAUAUUCACUAAGAAGAUCAAGAGAAGAAGAAUUAGAUAGAGAGGGGUCCCUCGAAUGGAUCUGUCUCUAUAGGAUUCUUAGCCACCAUCCCAAUUAGAUCUCUAUAAUUCUUUAGCAUAGCUACAUAGGAAUAUAUCUAGAAGGAGUCUGGAGCAAUCUUUAGUUCAUGGUAAACUCUUAUUCUCUUUGUUAUAUUUAUAUUAGUUCUUACUACUAUGAAUAUGACUUUGAUCUAUUUGAUUAUAUCAUAAUUGACAUUAUUCUAUUUGCUUAUGUUCUCAAUUAUAUUGUUCUUAGUCUACUUUGAUUAUAUGCUUAGCAUAGUUAGAUUAGAAUUAUGUUUAUGCAUAGGAUCGUAUAGCGCUUACUCAUUAGGCCGAUGGGUAAGUGAUAGAUUUGUGUAGGCGAGGUGCCUAGACUGUAUUUAUCUACGAUUCUCCCUUAUAGUCUAGAGCUUGAGGUAGAUCAUAGGAGUGACAGUCCUGUUGAGUCCUUUGUAUUCCUUCUACUAAUUAUAAGGAUUAUAGAGCACCAUUAUUAUAGGGAAGUGAUUGCUAUAUUCAUGAACUUUCUUACUAAUAUCACUAUGCAUAGAUAUAACCUUUUCUAGUGAUGAUGCUAGGUGUACUUACACUAAUCAAUGUAUGCUUUGAUAGUAUAGUUAGAAUACAUAGGAUUUAUUCUUGUAGACUGUCCUAAUACCAUACUAGUGCUAUAGACUUAGAGUACUCUAAUUGAGAUGAUUAUCAUGUUUAUCUUAUGGCUAUGAAUUCUUAUUUAUGAUCUGUCACUUAUUAUUCAUAUUCAUAUAUUUAUCUUAUGUGACACUUACCCUGCAUGAGAGAUAGAUAAAGACAUGGUUAAGGUCUCCAUUGAUUAGCAGUGCUCAUUGCUCAUUAUCCAUUGCAAGACCCUUCCCAGUGGUAAAAAUAUAAAUAACGAUACCCGGAAUACUCCUCGUUAAAAUGCUACAUUGGUAUUAUCUGUGCGCUUACGGAUCUUUAUUUAUUUAUUUAUUCCUAGAAAAGCAUAUAGAUUUAAUACCAGCACUUCUACAUCAUGUUAGGGAUGACAACCUAGCUUAAGUGAUGUUAAUUAAUUUUGACGCCAUUGUUGACGGUCGAUAACGUCAACUCUUAUUAUAAAUUUAAACCUGAAGGAGAACAUGAAUAUACACUAGUAUAGGGUUUAAAUUAAUAAUUUCCAUGAGUUUUGUAUAUUCUAUAUUUUCUAGGAUGAAUUUCACGAAAGCUGAAAAAGAGGGACUCUAGUGCAAAACAAACACGGAAACGUAUCCACCACGGGAAACGUCGCGAGAGGAUUCAGGAACACUCUAGAAGACACCCAACGCGAGGGGGGAGCUAGUGGCUGCCAGGUGGGACUAGUCGGCCCCACCCUAGCGUCGGUCGACCCCCUGCUGUAGGGUUUUGGCCCUCCCUUCCGGAAGCUUCCUCCGCCGCCUUUGAGGAGUAAUCUCGGCACUUGGUUAAUGAUCCUACGGACGCAAAUCCUAGUGGACUAUAAAUAUAUGGGUAGACCCCCCUAGAGAAAUCAAUCCCCAAUCAACCAGUUCGUCAAGGCCUCAAGCCAUCAAGCAUCAAGCGCCUUCAAGUUCAUCAAGAGCCUUCUAGUCUGUAGUUCUAGUUAGUUAGAUUAGAAGUAGAGGAGAUCUAGUUCUUCAUUGGGAUCUGGAGCCCCUGGCGUCGGUCUGGAGCGCAAGAGUACGGUAAUAGAUCUAGUUCUUACUUUAUAGUAUUCAGUUGUAUAUUAGGGAGACUUUAUUCUUAAUAUAUUCAUAUGUUCUUAAUUACAUUAGUCGUUGUCUACUUUGAUUAUAUAUCUAGGAUAGUUGGUUUGAUCUUAUUGAAUUCAUGUAAUUGCCUGUAUAGCGUUUACCUAAUCGAUCGUUGGGUAGAUGGUAGACAAUAUGUAGACGUGGUGUCUAGAUAUCUUGUUUGUCUGUGAGUGCCCCCUGAUGUGCCGGGUCAUGUGGUAGUUCGCGUAGGUGACAGCUGCGUUGUUUCCUUUGUAGUCCACCCCCCGUACGUAGGGCUAUCAUGGGCGCAGUCGUGAAGGAGAUGACGGUUGCGUCUUAAAACCCUCAUUAGUUGAUGCCUCUUUACAUGUAAUUAUGAUAUAGGGUUGACUUAACGAUGAUUUCUAGAUGCAAUUGCACUAAUUAGAGUUAUUCAUUAGCGUAACUAUAGAAUUACAUUAGAUCCAACACCCUAGUUUGUCCAUUGGCUAACUAUUAUUAUGACUAGUAGAUGCUCUGAUGAUUAUCCUUAUUUAUGAUACUUGAUGAUUAUGCUACCACUGUUAUUUCUCUAUAUUUAUCUUGUGACCUCUACCUGUUAUGAAGUAGAUUAUAGGACUUGGGUAAAAUCAUUUAUUCAUCCUAUAUAGUUUCUUAUCAAUAUAAUAUAUUAUAGUUUAACACUUAGCCUUCCUAGUGGUAUAAAUAUAAAUCGACAACCUGGAUACUUCCCUAAGUAAAAUGCUACAACAGUAUAAUUAUCUGUCCGCUCUCAGAACCCAUUUAGUUUAUAAUUAUAUUCAUAAUUGUUAUUCUCUGUCUUUACAGUAGAACAUGUGAAUCUAUAUUAAAUUCCUAGCAAUAUAAUUAGGGAUGACAACCUAGUUUGUGCUUAGGAAUAUUUGAGUGGUUAGUUGCUAUUUGACAAGUUAAUUAAAUAUCAUGCACUUCUGGUGUUGUUACUUGGUGUUGGUGCAAAAGUAGAUAUGCAAACACAAAGGGCUAAUACCCGAUUUAAUGUUAAGGCGUGCCAGCCGAUUUGACCAUACAAUCGACAAAGGUGAUAACUCGAAUACUUUGGUCCCGACAACAGCGAUGCGCCCGGAUGUCACGGCCAAGAGGUAUUCACGCGGAACUCGAGAACUCACCGAGAUUAACUCAAUGAAUUCCUAAGAACUCAUAGGUAAAAGGAAAAUAUGCAGGUUGACGAAGUCGUCGAAAAAAAUAGAUGCUGGAAUAGAUGUAAAAAUUUGUGUUUGAUUGUUUGUGUAUAUCCAUUACAUUGCCACGGGGUCUACAUUUAUACCCUGUCCAAAGGUGUUACAAUCAGACACGACUAGGACUCGAAUUCCAAAUUGUACGGAAUCUAUAUACAAAGCAAACUCUAAUAACUAUGGAAAACAUUAAUUCUUUUUCCAUAACCAAUUGGUACACCACCAUGAGUCGAUCGAUAACCCCUGUGCCCUUUUCCAUGACCAUCGGGAAACCACCUCUCAUAGCCAUCGGCAACCAUCAGCACCAGACAUCAGCACGAAUCUAUCACCACUCCUAGACUUGGCCAUAUCCUGUCGUUUUUGUUGAUAUUUGGUAACGCAAUAAGGAAAUGAUCCGCAAGCGCACGGAUAUCGGUGAGCAUUUCACCCGGGAGGUUUUCCAGAGUAUCGUAUUUAUAUUUUUACCACUGAGAGAAAGGGUGCAUCUGACUAACCAAAUCUAUUGCUACUAUCCCUUUAGGCUACAAAGAAUGUUUCUCGAUGUGAGUGAUGUAUAGAGAAGACUGCAACCGUAGUCUCGUCUUAACCUUGGUAAGGAUGAUCUACUGUUCUAUUGGGGAAGCUUACGGAAUCUAGAGACAACAAAGGAUGUUCGACCCGCACCUAUAAACCCUACCCUUCCUGCUAACAAGAUAUGGGAUACAAAGGUAACUCGGAAAUGUCACGUUCCUCGCUACUACCACGGUCCAGCUAGUCAGGGGAUAUCUAUGAGUACCCUAGCCUAAACACCACGUUUACGCUAGCAAUAAUUACUCUAAUACUCAACCGGAAGAGGAUUAAAGUAAACUCAUAAACCAAAGAAUAAUAAAACAAGAACUUACUAGAAUUAGAAGUCGAAUUACUGAAGAAUCUUAGGAGCAAGCCUCGGGUUAGGAGACUUGAUCCCGCAGGUACAACUUGGAGUAGACACCGACAGGCCGGCCUUUCUCCGAUCUACACCUCCACUCUAUAUCUCUCAAUCUAGUAGAAACUAGAAGAUCUAUUUCUACUUACAUUGGUUGCUAAGCCUAAAAAGAAAUUUUAUUUGGAGAAGAGGUUUUCCUUCGAGGGCACCCCUCAACUCUAUGAUAACUUCUUGUCUUCUCUAGGGGCCAGGGGGUCUCCUUAUAUAGUCCUCCUCCUCUAUGCGUUUUUGGGUCGGUAGGCGAUGUGGUACUACGUUAUCCUUGAUCCUUUAGGUCGGUGGAACAUCGUGUGCGAAGAGAGUCCUGAUUGGCAUCCAGAGGGGGGCGGGCACCCAGGUCCUCAGGGCGGGCGCCCUGGGCCUGGCCCCUUUCGGCCUCUGCUUUCUUCCCGUGGCUUCUGGACUCUUCUAGAUGGUAGAAAAUUGUCACACCCCAAAAUUUCUGAUUUUGGGUUGUGCAUAGAAAACACUAAACAAAUAAAAUAAAUUUAAUAUUUGUAUAAGAUUUGCCAAGUUUAGUUGAAUUAGUGUAAAUUAGUUCUAGAAAAAAAAAUGAAUUUUCAAAUUGUCUUGAAUUAUCCCGACAGGCUUUUGCUUGGUGUGAUGUGAUAUUUGUUUGGUACCUGACUUUGUGUUUGAGUGUACGGAGUUUUCAAAAAUAGGUUUAGAAAUCAUCACCCUAGCUAAUCCUUCACCUAUAGAUUUUGUUCGAUCUUAGGCUUCCAAUUUGCUCUUGCACAUAACGUGAUGAUAUAAUAUAGUAUAAAAUAAUGAUCCUCUGAAGGAAGCAAUCGACUGCUCUUAAUUUUCUUCUUUAUUUAAUUAGAUGUUGGUUUUCUUCUAGUUUAGUAGUUUCCUUUCCUUGUAUCGUUAAUGAUCUCUCCCUAUCUAAGAUGUAGGACGUGCACGUCAAGGACUCCAUCUCAAUCUCGAUGACUACGUUUGCCAUAUGACCAUUGCUAGUUUAUAUUAAUAGAAAGCCUUGGCCGUCGUUUCUUCUCUAAACCCUAAAACCAAGCCAAUCAACUAUGAUCAAGCUGCCGCCCUCCCAUUGGAUCGACCUCCAUCCAAUCUUGCCGAAAUCAGCAAAGCAGAAAGGAAAAGUCGGCUAUGAGAGGGUUUCGCCAAGCUGCCAUCGAACUAUUCUACAUGAUUGCUCCCGCCGCACUCAUCGCUUGGUUCGAGACUCGAUCCUCUCGAUUGAUCUUGCUUUCCGAGAGCAACGCUGCAGCAUCGUUCUGUCCUGCUCCAUCCUUGCCGUGCAGUCGCGACCUGCAGAAAAUUUGGCAACGCAAGAGCAAACCAAUUGAUGCCACCACCGGAGGAUUUUGGCACGGAGCAAUUGUUGGAGGACCCCUAGUCUGGCCACGUGAAGCACUGAUCGGAUGCUAGCAUGCCGUUCCUUCUUUGCCUCCGUCAUCCUGAUCGCCCUCGAUCUACAUAUGGUGAUACGAUCAUCUGAUGCGGCCAUGCACUCUAUCGAGCCAGGUGAAGCUAUCGAGCCAUCUUAGUCUGCACAAAGGUCCUAGGUGAGCUCGCAAUCUCCUCCUCUUACUUCAUGUGUUCUUUCCCAUUCGUGCUUUUCCUGCAAGCUCUUGCCAUCGCUCAUGGAGGACUGCUGCACCGGCCUUCUUCACUGGUGUCGGCUGCUCCAGAGCAGAACUAGCUUGAUGAUGUCAUGACGGUCGCAUGAUGACAUCACUAUGUUUUGUGACCGUUUUUCUUUAGAAAAACAAAUCUAGAAAUACAAAAAAAUACACUAGUUUGUUUUAGCUAUAAAAUACUUGUUUUAACUCUGAUUUAAUCCGUUCAAGUUGUGUUAGACUCAUAGCAAUGUAGUCUACACGUUAGUGCUAGUGUUUUUCAUGCCACAUGUUUUCCAUAUAUUGCUAAAUAUUUAAUUGUCUAAUAUGCUUGUAGUUAGUUUUAUAAUUAAAAAUAAUAUAGGUUUGUCAUGUCUAUCCUUUGUAAUUAUAUGAGCAUGAAUUUAACUAAUAGUAACUUGAAUAUGUUUUAAUUAUAUUUUGCUUAGACAAUCGUGAUAUAUACCAUAAACUUAUUUUAGUGUUAGCAUGUUAUAUUAUUUUACAAGUUAUAGUUUAACCGGCAUAAACGAUAUAAAAUUAUGUAUUAAUAAAAUAUGAUCAUAUCCAACACUUAUCAUGUAUAAUUUGAAUAGAUGUUUUCACACGUUCUUUGAAAAGUUAUAGUUUACUUUGAUUAAAAUGAUGCGUGCAUGCUUAUAAUUGAAAUAUGAUUAUUGAUUAAAUAAUAGACAUGUUCAUAAAUAAGAUAUAAUUAGAUCCAAUUUGUUUUUAAAGAUUAAAAUAUAAAUUGACUAAUCUGAAUUAGUAGGUUACAAAUGAUUUUUCUUAACUAAAACAUAUUAAGAUUAUAGUUGUUUCUUUUAUAAUACCCAAAACUUUAGGUAGUCGUUUCUUUUUAUGAUAAUUUUAGUUCUGGCGUUUCUCGUAACCAUAGCAUCGAGCCGUGCCGUUAGUACGCUCUCUUUUAACGCUUUUAUUUUGAUUGAUGUAUUGUUCUUAGAUAUUUCUGUUUGUUGAUUGUAUGUUUGCUUUUGUGUGGUGUUUGCUACGAGUAGACGAGAACUGUAUGUGAGCGCUGGGGGACAAAAGCUACAAGAAAGAAGACCGAAGGAUUUCUAUGAGCAUUUAACCUUAAGUGGAAAGCAAGGCAAGUAUAACUUGGGAUCAUCCUUGUUGCCUACACACUUUUAAUACAUAUAUCAUAUGCAUGUGUCCACCUUGAUGACCUUAGCAAAAUCAUAGAUGAUUGUUAUCUUGAAUUCCUUGUUACCUAUUUGGAUAUGCAUUUGGGUAGUUUUGCUAGUGCUUUAUUAUAAUCCAUGAUCUUGUAACAUGAAUAUUUGAAUAUACAAUAAACAAUAAAAUAAGCUUUCUAGCAACUUGAAUAUAAAGGGUGGAAAGAACUCUGGCUUUUGCUGGAUUGAUCUUGACCCUCCAUAAGGACUUAUCCCUUGGCAAAAGCUGGGACAACUCGUACAACUAUGAGGGCUAUAUGGCUCUGGCUUUAGCUCAGUAUGAAGACCUUUUCUAGCUUGUUAGAGGUUACCCGAAAGGGCGCUAGAGGGGCUGAACCGACACGGGUAUAGUGCGAGCCCCUGUCCCUAUGUGUAUAGGCUGCGCGUCAUUGUGCCAUUCGGAAGGGGGGUAUCAUUAUCUGCUCGCGAAGAAAACCUUGCGGCCCUAACAUGUUAGACGAACUUUUGAAAGGCUUCAUAGUGAUCCCUGCCGACCUUCCUUGAAAGUGGGUUAAGAGGCUGAUCACCUCGGGCGAAAGGAUAAAUCAUGACAAAUAGGUAAAGAUGUACAACCUCUGCAGAGUGUUAAAUCUGGUAUACUAGCCGUGCCCACGGAUACGGGCGGCCCAGAAAACUGACGGAAUAGAUGGACACUGAUAAACGUGAAUAAUGAUAAUAAAUGAUGGUUUAUUAUGUUGUUUAUAUGUGUUAUUCUUAAUUCUUGUAUACAUUGAUCAUGUGGUUAUGGGAUUAUUUAUGCUACCUUGAUAUUUGCUAUCCAAUGAUUAAACAUGCUAUCCACUAUUAAAAGCUAAAUGCAGUCAAACCUGUGUCAGCUAUUUGAGCCUCAUGAACCCCUGGUUAUACUUGUUGAGUACGAUAUGUGCUCACUCUUGCUAUUUCCCACCACUUCAGUUUACUAGUAAGAGUUGAGCAGAAGAGCGAUGGAAUCAUGAAGGUGUUCUCAAGAUACAAGAAGUGUUAGGUAUAUGUUACCCCAGUCAGCCGUCCCUGUGAAGAUUUAGCUUGAAGAUUAGUUAUUGUGUUACGAUUCUAUGAUGUAAGUGUUAUUUAUAAGUACGUAUGUUAUCGUUAUAUAACAAUGUUUCUGAUACUAUUGCUUCUGUUGUUGUAUGUGUGGACUUCCUGGGUACACAUAUAUAUCUAGCCUGGUUUUGUUCCUUAAAACCGGGUGUGACAGUGGUAUCAAAGCAGUGUUGACUGUAGGACGUAUGCCUUAGUAGCACUGGUCGAUUAGAAAAGUCUAAUUUGCUACAAAACUAUUUUCUUAUCCCUUGACUCUUUAUUUUUGAUUAUUUCUCAAUCCUUGUCCCAUUGUAUCCCCUCCUUGAUAGCUUCCUUUGAGCUAUUACUGCUUACUCCCUUGAUUUUUUUUAUGUAGUUUUACAAAAAGUUUUCUAAUCCUACCUCAUUCAAAAGUUUGAUGGCCUUUCAUCAUCUCUAAUCUGCCCUUUAGGAUGACCACCAUGUUGAAGAAACAUGUGUAGUAUCGAUGUGUGUUGUGUGCUUGUCUUGUUUGGUGUGUUGCUUGCGUGUUGUCUCUGUUCUUGUGUUUUGAAGGAGGCCCACAAGGUGUUGUCUUGAGAAGUAGCUCAAUCUUGUUAAGUGGGGUAGCGUCCGCUACCGUCAUCUAUCUCAAGUAUUCCAGAUAUGAAAACCUAAUGAUCAAUUUUAUUCUUUUUAAUAUCUCUUUCUGGUAUAUCAAACUUUAUAUUUUCUAUCAUCAAUCUUCAUCUUCUUAUGCUCUUUUGUUAGUCUUGCCCCUUGAUUGGUUGCCUUACAAUAUAACAACCUAAAGGUCAACUUCACUUCUCCAAUGCACUUUUAUCAUCAUCGAUCUGUGUGUUUCUUGAGAACCAAUCCUUGACAUCAUUAUUAACUUUUAUCGAUCCAUAACCCCUAAAUCAUAUCUCAUCAAAAGUCUCAAAACAAUCUUGAAGAUCUGCUUUAUCCUAGUAUCUCCGAAUCUCGGGACGAGAUUCCUGUUAAGUGGGGUAGAAUUGUCACACCCCAAAAUUUCUGAUUUUGGGUUGCGCAUAGAAAACACUAAACAAAUAAAAUAAAUUUAAUAUUUGUAUAAGAUUUGCCAAGUUUAGUUGAAUUAGUGUAAAUUAGUUCUAGAAAAAAAAAUGAAUUUCCAAAUUGUCUUGAAUUAUCCCGACAAGCUUUUGCUUGGUGUGAUGUGAUAUUUGUUUGGUACCUGACUUUGUGUUUGAGUGUACGGAGUUUUCAAAAAUAGGUUUAGAAAUCAUCACCCUAGCUAAUCCUUCACCUAUAGAUUUUGUUCGAUCUUAGGCUUCCAAUUUGCUCUUGCACAUAACGUGAUGAUAUAAUAUAGUAUAAAAUAAUGAUCCUCUGAAGGAAGCAAUCGACUGCUCUUAAUUUUCUUCUUUAUUUAAUUAGAUGUUGGUUUUCUUCUAGUUUAGUAGUUUCCUUUCCUUGUAUCGUUGAUGAUCUCUCCCUAUCUAAGAUGUAGGACGUGCACGUCAAGGACUCCAUCUCAAUCUCGAUGACUACGUUUGCCGUAUGACCAUUGCUAGUUUAUAUUAAUAGAAAGCCUAGGCCGUCGUUUCUUCUCUAAACCCUAAAACCAAGCCAAUCAACUAUGAUCAAGCUGCCGCCCCUCCCAUUGGAUCGACCUCCAUCCAAUCUUGCCGAAAUCAGCAAAGCAGAAAGGAAAAGUCGGCUAUGAGAGGGUUUCGCCAAGCUGCCAUCGAACUAUUCUACAUGAUUGCUCCCGCCGCACUCAUCGCUUGGUUCGAGACUCGAUCCUCUCGAUUGAUCUUGCUUUCCGAGAGCAACGCUGCCGCAUCGUUCUGUCCUGCUCCAUCCUUGCCGUGCAGUCGCGACCUGCAGAAAAUUUGGCAACGCAAGAGCAAACCAAUUGAUGCCACCACCGGAGGAUUUUGGCACGGAGCAAUUGUUGGAGGACCCCUAGUCUGGCCACGUGAAGCACUGAUCGGAUGCUAGCAUGCCGUUCCUUCUUUGCCUCCGUCAUCCUGAUCGCCAUCGAUCUACAUAUGCUGAUACGAUCAUCUGAUGCGGCCAUGCACUCUAUCGAGCCAGGUGAAGCCAUCGAGCCAUCUUAGUCUGCACAAAGGUCCUAGGUGAGCUCGCAAUCUCCUCCUCUUACUUCAUGUGUUCUUUCCAUGGUCUUUAGGCCCCAUUCGUGCUUUUCCUGCAAGCUCUUGCCAUCGCUCAUGGAGGACUGCUGCACCGGCCUUCUUCACUGGUGUCGGCUGCUCCAGAGCAGAACUAGCUUGAUGAUGUCAUGACGGUCGCGUGAUGACAUCACUAUGUUUUGUGGCCGUUUUUCUUUAGAAAAACAAAUCUAGAAUUACAAAGAAAAUACACUAGUUUGUUUUAGCUAUAAAAUACUUGUUUUAACUCUGAUUUAAUCCGUUCAAGUUGUGUUAGACUCAUAGCAAUGUAGUCUACACGUUAGUGCUAGUGUUUUUCAUGCCACAUGUUUUCCAUAUAUUGCUAAAUAUUUAAUUGUCUAAUAUGCUUGUAGUUAGUUUUAUAAUUAAAAAUAAUAUAGGUUUGUCAUGUCUAUCCUUUGUAAUUAUAUGAGCAUGAAUUUAACUAAUAGUAACUUGAAUAUGUUUUAAUUAUAUUUUGCUUAGACAAUCGUGAUAUAUACCAAAAACUUAUUUUAGUGUUAGCAUGUUAUAUUAUUUUACAAGUUAUAGUUUAACCGGCAUAAACGAUAUAAAAUUAUGUAUGAAUAAAAUAUGAUCAUAUCCAACACUUAUCAUGUAUAACUUGAAUAGAUGUUUUCACACGUUCUUUGAAAAGUUAAAGUUUACUUUGAUUAAAAUGAUGCGUGCAUGCUUAUAAUUGAAAUAUGAUUAUUGAUUAAAUAAUAGACAUGUUCAUAAAUAAGAUAUAAUUAGAUCCAAUUUGUUUUUAAAGAUUAAAAUAUAAAUUGACUAAUCUGAAUUAGUAGGUUACAAAUGAUUUUUCUUAACUAAAACUUAUUAAGAUUAUAGUUGUUUCUUUUAUAAUACCCAAAACUUUAGGUAGUCAUUUCUUUUUAUGAUAAUUUUAGUUCUGGCGUUUCUCGUAACCAUAGCAUCGAGCCGUGCCGUUAGUACGCUCUCUUUUAACGCUUUUAUUUUGAUUGAUGUAUUGUUCUUAGAUAUUUCUGUUUGUUGAUUGUAUGUUUGCUUUUGUGUGGUGUUUGCUACGAGUAGACGAGAACUGUAUGUGAGCGCUGGGGGACAAAAGCUACAAGAAAGAAGGCCGAAGGAUUUCUAUGAGCAUUUAACCUUAAGUGGAAAGCAAGGCAAGUAUAACUUGGGAUCAUCCUUGUUACCUACACACUUUUAAUACAUAUAUCUAUGCAUGUGUCCACCUUGAUGACCUUAGCAAAAUCAUAGAUGAUUGUUAUCUUGAAUUCCUUGUUACCUAUUUGGAUAUGCAUUUGGGUAGUUUUGCUAGUGCUUUAUUAUAAUCCAUGAUCUUGUAACAUGAAUAUUUGAAUAUACAAUAAACAAUAAAAUAAGCUUUCUAGCAACUUGAAUAUAAAGGGUGGAAAGAACUCUGGCUUUUGCUGGAUUGAUCUUGACCCUCCAUAAGGACUUAUCUCUUGGCAAAAGCUGGGACAACUCGUACAACUAUGAGGGCUAUAUGGCUCUGGCUUUAGCUCAGUAUGAAGACCUUUUCUAGCUUGUUAGAGGUUACCCGAAAGGGCGCUAGAGGGGCUGAACCGACACGGGUAUAGUGCGAGCCCCUGUCCCUAUGUGUAUAGGCUGCGCGUCAUUGUGCCAUUCGGAAGGGGGGUAUCCAUAUCUGCUCGCGAAGGAAACCUUGCGGCCCUAAUAUGUUAGACGAACUUUUGAAAGGCUUCAUAGUGAUCCCUGCCGACCUUCCUUGAAAGUGGGUUAAGAGGCUGAUCACCUCGGGCGAAAGGGUAAAUCAUGACUCAUGGGUAAAGAUGUACAACCUCUGCAGAGUGUUAAAUCUGGUAUACUAGCCGUGCCCACGGAUAUGGGCGGCCUGGAAAACUGACGGAAUAGAUGGACACCGAUAAACGUGAAUAAUGAUAAUAAAUGAUGGUUUAUUAUGUUGUUUAUAUAUGUUAUUCUUAAUUCUUGUAUACAUUGAUCAUGUGGUUAUGGGAUUAUUUAUGCUACCUUGAUAUUUGCUAUCCAAUGAUUAAACAUGCUAUCCACUAUUAAAAGCUAAAUGCAGUCAAACCUGUGUCAGCUAUUUGAGCCUCAUGAACCCCUGGUUAUACUUGUUGAGUACGAUAUGUGCUCACUCUUGCUAUUUCCCACCACUUCAGUUUACUAGUAAGAGUUGAGCAGAAGAGCGAUGGAAUCAUGAAGGUGUUCUCAAGAUACAAGAAUUGUUAGGCAUACGUUACCCCCAGUCAGCCGUCCCUGUGAAGAUUUAGCUUGAAGAUUAGUUAUUGUGUUACGAUUCUAUGAUGUAAGUGUUAUUUAUAAGUACGUAUGUUAUCGUUAUAUAACAAUGUUUCUGAUACUAUUGCUUCUGUUGUUGUAUGUGUGGACUUCCUGGGUACACAUAUAGCUAGCCUGGUUUUGUUCCUUAAAACCGGGUGUGACAAAAAUUGCGCGGUGCGUUGAUAUCUCUAUGUAAUUCCGACAUGUGGGCCUUUCUUCCAUAUUUCCUGAUAACCCCCUACAGAAAUAGACAAACACCAAAACUCAUGGAAUUCUGUCAGAUAAAACCCUAAUUCUAGGUGUUGGUUGCAUUUGGAUCAUUUUCUUUAUUUAUUUGAUGAUUAUAUUUGGUACAUAAGGACCGUCAACAACUCCCCCAAGCUUACCUCUUGCUCGUCCCUGAGCAAGGAUGAACUCAAGAGUUUCUACAGUGGUUUCAUGCCUUAAAAGUACGCAUUCAAGCAAGAUCUCAUCUCUGAGUUAGAAUAAACUGUUAAGACUUAAAACUUACUCAUUUACCUUUCACCAUGGGGCUUGUAACCGUCACUUGUGUCUUGAGUAGUUAAAAAAUAGAACGGUCAAGUCAAGCGCCAUGUCUCUUAUUCUUGAUCAGCUAUAGCUCUGGAGUUUUUGCAGAUUUUCAAAUAAAACUCAGAGAUUCCUUGUAUGACUCUCUCAAAUCUCUCUUUUAUGGUAUUUUUGGAUCCAUACCAAGGUAGUAAUGGUAUAUGCCUUCUCUCAAAGUAUGUGGUAUUUUUGGUAUAAGGCAUAGUGAUAUUGCCUUCUCUUUCACCCUAUUCUAAUAAGGUUUUGAUAUCUGGAGCUCAUAGGUGGGAGACAGCUAAUAUAUACUUACAAGACAUUUAUUGCAUAGUCAAACCAUGGAUCCAGAGAAACAAGUCAAUAAGUCAAAUCAAGAUGUGCAUGUGUGGCGAGUGAAUGGUGUAUGGUGAUGAUGGAGAUAACAAUGGUGAAAGUCUAAUUCUACUUUUGCUCUUUUAAGGGGAUACAUACCUUUCUUGCACUUUGAAGCUUUUUGAGGGGAAUGAGAUGCUCUAUAUUUUAUUUUUCUUUCUCUCUCAGGUGGGUAUCUUGUACCCCUAAUUCUAAUGUCGGACACUUGUCCAUUUUUACCUCUCGUCUCACUUUUUCUUUUCUUCGAGGUUCCGAGCACUUGCCCCUUUUUAUUUCCUCGUAUUUUUUUCCUCUUUUUCUUCUCUUUUUUUAGAGCACUCAUCUCCUGAAAUAAUAUAGCAAGUGGUAGUAAUCAAGAUAACUCGAGCAUUUAUUCCACAGGGAAUAACAGGGAUAGGAUAAUAUUUUUGGCUAUUCUCUCCCGGAUUAGGAGUAGAAUACUUUUGGGUGAAUCUGGAGAUGGAAAUGAGUGGAUUUAUGUGGAUGCGUACUUCCGGAGUAGAAGUAGCAUGUAUGAGUGAACGUGCAAGUGAAUCUUGAUUUUAACCACAUGACAAGCACCUAAUGGUCUACACAGCUUGACCACACUCAAUGCUCAUAAGCAGUAAAAAGUAAAUAUAUGGUUCACAGUCUAAUAAGCAUGUAUAUAUAGCUGUGGUAGGAAUUUAAACUCUCAUCAUACAGGAAGUCAUCAUGUGUUAUUUCAAAGAUUUUCAAAGAUAAAAUUCUUUAGAAUUCUAGCAUCUCUAGGAACAGAUAAACAGCAGCUCAACCUUCCCAUAUCAUAUCCGUUAACGACUUAGACUUUAGAUCAAGUACUCUUCCCACAAGUUCAGGUUUAGAGCAAAUCUUACUCCAUAACAGUCAUGCCUAAACUUGAGAGAGAUUUCAAUUUUAAGAACUAGUCAUGGCAGAGCAACUAUUCAUCAUUUCCAUGUGAGAGUUUAUCAUGAGGGUUCAUAGCAAACUUUAUUUAUUUAUUUAUUUAGCAAACUAAGCAAAGAUAUAUAUAUAAAAGCACAAAAUCUUUAUUUGGGUUUUCAUGAUUGUGCAUCUCUUAUUAUUUGAGUAAAGUAUAAACGCAAAUAGAAACACUUAGCUGGAUAAAUGGGGAUGCUCUCCCCCAAGCUGGAUUUUGACGUAAUUUCUUCUGAUGUAGCUAGCAGGUGAUGGAGGUGUAUUUGAAAGUUGGCAGCACCCUGACAGCGAUUAGAAUGUCCUCCGUCUGCUAGUCUUCUUUGAUCCUUGAAUUCUGUGGAGCUAAAAUAGACAACAAAGCUUUGUGGAACUAGUUAAGUGUUAGCAUAAAUAUCUAGCCUUUAUCAUGUUGAGCCUCCUCAAUAAAUGUUACUUAUUUAGCAGGAUCAUGCACUUAUUAUUUUUAUAUUUUUAUUGUAAGAUGAAAAUUAUUUAUUUUAUUUUUAUGCCACCAUAGUGAAUGUACUUAUGGGUUUUAUGCCAUGAGCAUACUCACAUGGGGCUUACUAUUUUUUAACAUUUUUAUUUUCUUUUCAAGAUAGCAUGAACCUAAUUAACUAAGCAAACUAUUGAAUGGAAAGGAUAACUACCAAGUUUACCUCUUGGCAAGGCGUUCAGUGUUUUUAAGUCCUCCGAACGGGACUCCUUGUUUUCUCAGUCGUCCUGGGAUUCGCUGGAUGGCGUAGUUGGUGAUUCCGGCGGCGCCUCCUCUUCGUGUAUAACUAUCUUUUCUCUCCACACCUGACUCGGUGCUACAGUCUCCUCAGGACAGUUCUGUUCAAGUUGUAUGUCUUCAGACCUUACCACUUCUCCUUCGUAGUCUAACCAUCCGUCCUUGAUGAUUUGCCUCCUCUGGGUGCGAUUGCGUUGUCUUCUUCUUGUCCUAACCUGCUUAGAGUUUUCAACUAUAUAGUUAGGGUCAGUAAAAUAGCGGCGUACCUUCUCAGAGGGGAAGAGCAUGUGGACUUCUCCGGUUCCAAUAUAGAUGAUGGCUUUGAUAGUGUUGAGGAACGGUCUUCCAAGAAUGGUGGGUGGAUCAUACUCGUCUUCUACCAUGUCAAUGACUUGAAAAUCAUCUCGAGCUGAAUAUAUGUUGGUUGUAGGGGCAUGGUUCCAUGCAGGAGCUGAUAGGUGACUGCGGCCAUUAUGUUGUCGUUAGAUCCGGUGUCGUAGAGUGUCUUCUAAAAAGAGUAUCCAUUGAUUGUGCACUCGAUGCUUGGAACACCAGGGUCGUCCUUCUUGGUUAGGAAAGGCGACUAGAGUCGACGAUCUUGACCUCCUCCGACAAGGAUCCAAUGUUUUAAGUCUUCUGGACAAGACUUCUCAGCGUCUUCAUCCUUUAGGUGCAUCAUUUGAUUAGGUGUGGACCUUGACGUCUGCACCUCUUGAUACGAAGUCACCCAUGUUCGUUGUUUGCUCAGCGGUUCGAAGUGUGGUGUUCGCAAUAUCCUGCUCAGUGUGUUUGUGCUUGUAGAUCCAGGUCCUUCACUUGGUGGAGUCUGGGAGUUGUAAAACUCCUCCAUGUUUUGUUUGAAGUGUACCUAUUCAUAGAGACAAGGUAGAGAUCAAGUGCAUGGGCCCUGUUGGUGGAAAACACCAACAGAACCAAAAGUGUAUUUGUUCUUCUCUAACCUUAAGCUUAGUGAGCAAGACAAAGUUGAUGGAUCAUGAGUGUAGCAUUUGUCAGAUCAGAUGGCUCAACCUAAUGGAAAGAUAAUAUAUCUAUAUUUAUGCUUUGUUUAUAUCUUCCAAAGAUUGAAUGUGCAACAUUUUAGCUUAUAUGAUUAGGAGUGUGGGAUCACGAAGGUAGUACUAAGAACAAAGAUUAAGGACUAA
rnacentral:lncRNA from 1 species